GAUCCGCAAUCGACUGGCAGAGCGGCAACGGCACUCAAGCAUUCCUAUUUGCUGUUGGCUACCUAUAUGAGUUUUACUUUCGUUUGCAUGCAAAUGACCUGAGUGUGCCGAUGGGUAACGUACUGGGCUGACAAGGACCGACGUCGUGUGGCAUGGUGUCGAUGAAUUGAUGAAGCCGUGAUGGGAGAAAGUGUAUUACAUGCCGACAUGGCUAUUAAUCCGUUAGACAUAGAUCACACCCCAUCCUUGUGUAACGUUUUGGAGACACUCGGAUUAUCUGUUUCGUCCCUCAUAUCAUAAUACUAAAAAAGCUUCCAAGUGGCAUCUUUCACGUCCCGGACAUGGGCAAUACAACUUCACAUGCCCAGCUCGCGCAGCCAUGGCCAAGAAUGAACCGCAGGAUUCUCUCUACUCUUCACCAGCCAUCGUAUCAUAUACAUGCGAGCGGGAACGACCAAAAAUCACAGUACUCUAAAAGAACUCGCUACAUAUCUACCACUACAUAUCUAAUACUUGCACGUAGCACGUACCCGCAAAAGUCGGUAUCAUCUGUCGCUAUCUUCCUAAAGGCUUUUAUGCAUAAGCUCAGAAACUUGCAAUACCUGAACACCCGGCUCACUUACGUGCUCUUCCUAAGCGCGUCUGAUACACCUUGCAGGCUCGAGGCCGCGUCGACAACGGCUGCCCCACCCGCACAUUCCCCCGUGGUUACGGGAUUUUGAGCCUUCCUUUUGGGUUUGCUUUCUGCUGUCAAGGAAACCUGUGUUGUCUGGUUUGGGACGCCAGACCAGCCUAUAAGGGUCCGAUAAAAUUGGAGCGCGAAACAUAUACUGCAAUCUUUUUAAAAACAAGUCGACGACGCGUCGAUGAGGACGUCGUGCCCUGGUUAGAUCCAGACCAGUGGACUUGAAUAGAAGUCCACUAUUCAAGACCGAGACUUCAAUUCAGUUCAAGAACAGUUUCCAAUUUUUGACCCAGGACAAUGUAGCAAAGUACACAGAGGCAGUUUACACAGGUUUUCGCUUGAAACGAGUGUUUGCGUGAUACUUGGUUGUCUGUACGACGCCCAGUGCUCGGGCUGAAACCUGUACUGCGGCUGCGAAACAGUUUCCUAUUUUUGGCCUUCCUGCAAAACCUCGCGAAAGCUCCGGUAAUCUGGAAAUCUGGCCAGGCACGUCGCGCUGAGGCGCUUCACCCUGAAGCGGACGAGGGAGGAGGAGGAUGGCCUCCCGCAUACCCGCAUCAUUACCGUUAUAACGUCCAUGGCCCCCCCGGCUUUUAUGGACACCCCCGCACGUGCGUGCGCAAUUUGUAACACGUAACUUGGGAACGGUCGGAAACCUCGAAAUGCUGCAAUUUGUGAUGUCUAUGAAUGGCAAACGUCGUAAAUGGGCCUUGCCGCCAAGGCGCAUGCUUAGAUACCGUCAGACAGCUCUCAGGUCUCGUGAUCACCUGACUGUCACCUACCCAAAGGUCACACAGGCCUAGAAUUGUAUCCUUUGUGACCUAUAUGUCUUUUGCUUGCAAGGAUUGCGACUUGUAUUCAUGGGAGAGGGCUACAAAGGUAUUAGGGAAGUGUCACGGCAUCUGACGGUUGGCUGAUUUGACUGUUCUGGGAUAAGUGAUCCCGGGGGUAUUGACAGAAGUAGGCCUGAGCAUCAUACAUGAAGGUUCUUGGCUCAUAGGAAAAAGCCAAGCCAUGGGGUAAGCUAUGUCCUCCGUAGCACUACCUCUCAGGCCGCAGCCAAACCCCGUUGCUUGACAGGUUCGAUGUGGGCUCACUCUUUCAGGAAAUGCACAUUGGCAAGGAAGGGCUGCUGGCCAAUACAAGUAAAGGAAGGGCCAACGAAACGUGAAAUGAAACGAAAUGAAGAAAUCCUGCAGUAGACAAGCGAUUCCGAACAUAACCCUACGAAGAUGCCUGCUUUACGCCGCGUCGACAACGGCUGCCCCACCCGCUGCACUCGACCCGUUCGGGGUCCACUGUAACAAUCGCAUUCUCUGCUUCGCCAAGACUUGGCAACUGAGUCGCUUGAGUCGAAAUAAGUCGAAAUGAGUUAAUCAUGCUGUCGAGUUGCUUGAGUCGAAAUUAAGUGUCCUUGACGUUGUUGAAGCGUCAAUUUGAGUCGAUUCUAGUCGCAAGACAGAUUCUGUCUUAGGACAUUGAAUCGCAGGUGCGGUGCAAGAUAAGGAUUAGUCAACGAUGAACAUGACGUUUCUCUCGUCAAUUGCCUACAAUCCUGUCAUUCCCCUUGACAAGGAAUCUACUCCUGCGGCAAACGUUGCCAUUGGCCGCGUAAACUGUCUUCAUCCUAGCAUUCGAAAAGUGUUACAUUACUUCCAACUCCUUGAGUCAGUUAGCGUACGACGCAGUACCCUAUAGGGAAUAAGUAUCGUUACAGUUUUCCUUCAAGAUACUGCUGGCGCGUGUAUCAUGCACUCAUCUGGCCUCUGCAAACCACUGAAAUGACACCGACGUUUCUGACCUUGAGAUUGCCCUUAAUUGUCACGACCGUUUCUCGCGACGAUACCAAACUUGCGAAAAAGUGUGAUCUUGGAGUAUACCUCGUCCGCGCGCUGACGGCCACGCCAAGCUGUGACAUCAAUUGACAUUUGUAACAUUGAGCUGUGCAGCGUCUGUCUGCAACAUUUUCAGCCAUGGUACACGACUCCAAAAAAAAAGAUACUUAGGGUGCCCGGUGACGGGCACGCCAACCCCACCCCACGCAUACAACACCACAAAUGGCUGCUAAUCCCAAAAUAUGAAAUCCCGGAGAACAGAUCCGAGCAUCCAUCUACUGUGCCUUCUUGGUGCCGGUGGGUGUUGCGUCCGCUGAAGCGCGCUUGAAGUCCGGCAUGUACCGACCAAACGUUGCAAUUAUAGUAGCAAGGAAGUUGUAGUCCAAGAUCUAGGGACGGGAAAUUUGGAAAUCGAAUUCCACCCAGGGAGGUUAUUUACUGACGUAGGUCGGCCAUUUCAUAGGUGAAAGAAUAGGUAAAGACAGAUUGUAAUGGGUCCACGACCCCCGAAUACCCCAGAUUGCUAGCCUGGCGUCACCUAAGGAUCCCCACCCACCCCCUCUCUCCGCUGCCCAUGAUGACCCAUGUACUCGCCCAAUUAAAGCGCCUGCCCACUGCACCAAGCGCACCUUCGUCGCAAGCCGGAAGCCCAGGGCGGUGGGUCCCACAUCCCGCCACACGGUGCGGCCCACGCUGGCGAACACAGUAUCCGGCAGCUCGUCAGGGUGUACGGCAAAGCGCUUGAAAAAGUCCAAUGCGUCGAGCUUGUGGGCCUUAUCAUAGAACCUGAACAUCGCGCGAGAAAGGAGAACACAGUGAACGUCAUGCAAUUUGACCACCAUGGGGAGUAGCAUGGUAUGGAAAGACUCUCGUGUCUCGUAUACACGGCCUGUCCAUUACACACACUCCUCCUUGUCAAAGGGUUAGCUUGACCACCUGGGGAUUACGUUUUGCUUGGGCGCAGAUUACGUUGCCUCCCUCUCCUGCAGGCGGUCCCCAGACUCACCUGGAGGCGACCGGGGAGGGAUGGAAGACCAACACAUCGAUACCGUGGGGCCGCACUUCGGGAGCGAGCGAGGCGCCAAACACGGAGAUGAAGGCCUUGGUGGCGGCGUACUGUACGGAGAAGGGUGACGGUAUAGCCGCGGCCGCCGAACUGGUGAACACGACACAGCCGCGCAAGCCCGCAGAAAUCUGGACGAAAAGGGACGGGAUAGGGCAGGGACGGAAAGGCUUAAGGAAAGAAGAACCGCCCCAUUACCCUCUUCUCUCCUAAGGUCAAUAACCGGACGCGCGUUAGACCGAGCCAGGGUCUGACUUGAGGGUCACACCUUUUGACUGAGGGAGGAAGCGGAAAGGAAAGUGACAAACUGGCAAUAUGCAUUAUGGGUCAGCUGCAAAGAUGGGGGACGCCGCCAAUCGACAGGACAUUGGUACGCUAUGUAGGAGAAGGCCAUAUGGCGCUCCUCGGGUUGCGUGCACCCGCGCACUCGUGCGUCCUACCCCCCGAAACCCCCUAAACAAACCCAGAACUCAUAAGCAUCAUCGCGUCGCCAUUAUGCCCUCGUGCGCAGUGAAUUUUUCCCCGAGCGACACACCAACACCUACCAUGCUCUGGACGAAAUGGUGGGUGAUCUGUACGGCACUAACCGCAUUACAGUUGAGAUUCUUCAUGAGCGCGUCAAGAGGCCUGCGACGUAAAAAAUACCAAAUGUAGGUUUAGAGGGGAGCGGGAAGGCUACCCAUAAUGCACCUCACACAGUCCAGGCUCAGGUAACGCUCUCCAUGGCAGGAUAAGAGGGCCUACCACAACGAUAUAUCAUUCCACCCAAGCAACGUCUGCCGCGCUGCCGCUCAGCCGCCCUGCCUUAAGCGCACGUGGUGCAGUUCUAACCUGGCCGGCCACGGUGGGUCCCCACCAACUUAACCAAUAACUGACUUGAGGCUGCAAGGGAGCCUGAAGCCACCUCAGCUCUAGCACACACACAAAAGCUCUAACGAAUACACCCAGGGAAUGAACACCAAAUAAAUACCAAGGACCCGCCUCUCCUGGCCAGGCGGAAUGAUACGUCACCAUGGGAAGCCCUCUUACCCACCAAGGAAGAAAACCGACCGCACCGUCCAGACCGAUCAGACCCACCACAGGAUAAGAAACCGACACGCCACAGGCCACAGCCCUACUGGUUCUAACCUCUGGCUUCCUGGCUUCGCGGGCUGCCGCAGAGUUAAGAGCCACGCUGUAACCGCAAACGGUAACCGCCUAUCCUGAUUCCCAGCCGACGGAACCACAGAUUAUGUGGACAGAUCAUAUCAUAUGGACCUUUGUCCGUUUGUCUGAAAAGCAGAGGCCCGAAGCACGCUCCCCUGGACACCGUUGUGGUGCACCAGGCAUCAUGCUGGGCGCUUCCUCGUACAUACAUACGUACGUACGUACCGGACUUACGUACUGGAUUUUAGGGGGCUAUGGAUAACUUGGGGGCACACCGUGCAACCGACGACCAACGCCGAGCCAGCCGCGAGGAUAGGCUGCACGUGGUCAGCCGUAACUUAUCAUAGCUGAUACUUGGCACGGGCACAUGGACGAUUGGACCUUGGUCAUGUACGGUGCGUCACGCCUAAUGGAUGCCUCCUUUACGCGAGCGGGGCAUCCAGGAUAGCGCGCAAAAUUCUGGAUGUCGCUCGCGCGGGUGUGAAAAACUGUCCUGCAGCACCAUCACGCCAGCCCCAUGUCCCUUAGCUAGCUAGCUUACCUCGUGUGGAAGAAUCCCGUGAGGAGGUAGCCCGCAUUGCAGAAGAUGAUUUGCACCCGGAUGUCCUUGGUCGCCUCGAUGAUAGGGCCCAAGUACUCAUUCCCGCCCAAAUCCGCGGGCACCUGCGACGUUGGUGCGUAGGGCGUUGCGUUUACGGUCAUUAGGGGCCGACAUAACAACCGAGUGCGACAGCAGGUUGACUCCCUCACGCAUCGCAUGCAACGCGAAUUUAUCAAAGUUGUUGUAUCCACCUUCCAAAACAGGGCCCACUGCAAGAUGUCUCAGAUGGAUAUCUCGGACACUACCAAGGAUCUUACACAUAAGUUGUAGCGUGGGGGCCAGAAAGCAAUGCCAGUGGGCCUGGGCCUGGGUUGACCUGGGCCAGGAAGUUUCCCUUUGGGUAUAUAUCCUUCGAGACACCAAAGGAUAUGAAGGGCUCUAAGCGACAACACAGGCUUUGGCCUUGACGCCAGAUGUACUAAGAUCAUCUGUCUAAGCAAGGUCCUCAGCUAGUGAAGACAGUCCAUGCGUUUUGGCGGGUACCAAGGCGGAAGGAUGAGUCGUUUACCAGUAUGCCGUACAGUGUGGGCUGGCAUUUACGGCGGCUACGUACCUUGCGGAAUUGACAUUGAGGAUAUGUCGCUUUGAGCUCCUCAAACGUAGUGUCAAGCAGCUGAUCUCCGAGCGCCACAAGCACAACGUUGAGCCCCUGUCGCGCCAGACGCGUUGCGAUGGACUUGCCAAUACCUGCCCCCGGAACACAUUUUUGAUCAGCAACGUGAAAGCGUUACGAGCUUGUCAAGGCCAUCUGCUGUCACAGAAUUGAUAUUGUCAAGUGGCGGUCCCAAAAAGGCGCGCAGGGGUUGAUCGUGUGCCUUGCAAGUUCAAAUCCGGAGCAUACGAUCCCAUAGGAAACGAUGCAGGAUCUAAUCCAAGAUAGCGGUGCGAACAGACGGCUGCUGUAAGACACCACUGCAAGUCGCACCGGAGCUGGCACCAGUUACAAGGGCCCACUGAGCAUUAUAUCGUUUCUUCAAAUUUUGCGUUUUAUAAAAAACUGCGCAGAUGAGAUGUUGAACUACAUAUGUUAAGAAGCUUGGCACAAAAAGACACAGAAACAAAUAAAACCACAUUUUAAAUAAGUUAUGACACGAUCAGUUAUUUCCCACUGUUCACGUAUGCUGUAGACAAAGCUAUUGAUGUUAAGGCAAUCGGAGAAGCGAGGUUCCGGAGCGACCGUACCUGGACGUACCGUACGGUUUCAUUGAUGAAUAAGUUGGCAGGUAUUGCUUUCUGGCUUCCGCACCAGAUACAUAACUCACGAUAUCGCCGCUAAAGCAUCACUAAAGUAAUCACUAUUACCUAUGGUGUUACUCCCAGCGUCCUGAAACACUUUGGCAGUCUUCAGAUGGUUGACACAUUUGCUAACUCCCAAACCCCCAACCCCGUGACCAGGGAAUAAGGAGUGCACAAUGAUAUAGUAAUGGAUGCCGUGCCGCAGGUUGGUUUGCUAACCUAAUGGGACCGAUGCCUCUCCCUCUGUACCUCUUCCUCCAUGUCCUUCCGCUGGCUGCCGGACUCGGUCUUUGCAUUCUGUCUUGGGUCCGUCCCAAACUCCCGGAACAUACGCCCAGAGCUCAGCAGCUCACCUAGCCCAUAGACCUUGGACGCCUCGUCUCGUCAACGCGUAUGGGGGACACCAACUUGCCGUCACUUGUGCAAAGCGUGCAUGCACAGAAGAUGCGGCUGGAAUAAGCGCUAAUCCAGCCACCAGACGGCCUUCCGACAGUCUGACUGCUACACCAAUAAACACGGAUGGAGGUUCUGCGAUGAAAAACUAAAACUUGCAUGAGGGGUUUAUGGAUUUUUGUGGGUAAAAGCAUGUGUUUCCCCCUUCACUAUUGAUCCAAGAUUCAAGCCAGUUCAUGCGAAAAGCAUAGUAAGUGUCCUUUUGAAAUACCAGUUAUCCAUGGAUACCCGUUAUUGGCGGUGCCUCAAAGAUUUCCCGUGCUGUCGCAUCAUACGACUGUAGCAUCGACAAAACACGUGCGUAUGGCAGAUUAAAAUGUUGUGACAGUACUUUUGAGAGCUGUGAAUGGGUAGGGGUGUCUAGCUGCCCGCUGCCUAAAGGACACAUGUGUACAUCUUUCCUCUGAAACUCCAAACAUGCAUCGUACUGCAGCGUCCGCGGGCCCCAAACUAACAUGUGUAGCCGCCUACCAUAUUUGGUAGGCGCGCGUCGUGCUUUUAUUGUAGGCAAAGGGCGGAGGGGAUGGGCGCCCUUUCAUGAAAGGGUGCUUUAGAGCUCAUGUGGGACUAGUGGCAACCGUCAAUGCCCAUGAAACCUUUUUUAACCCGUAGCCUGGUAUUGCUGCCUAGGUGAAGAAGAGCCACCCCGCCUGCCUCCGUGUGCAAAGCUAGCAGUCGCAGACAGGUACAAGCAUGCGUUCGGACUUUCGGGGAGAAUGACAUGUCAGGCAACGGCCUUUUCGCCAGUGCCUACCUUUCCAUUGACGCUCAACAAUCCUAUAGAAGACGCACGUUUAGGAUGCCUGUCGCGCCAAUUCACGGGCUGCGGCGCGCUGCAGAGUAGCGAAAGGAAAGCUGCGCGGAAACCAAGGGGAUGCCAAACCCGUACCCCUUCCUUGCACCACACCUGCAUAACCUGACACGUCCUGCGAAACAACCCAAUGGUUUUUAGUCCAGCGUGUGCUUGCAGGCUCAUAAAACCAUGGAAUUGAGGAUAGCCGGGUGACGAGGAUGGAGGCAUGGGUUGGCGUGCAAGCCUUGGAAAGCUCGGUCAGGGCAGGGGAGCGGUGGGGGGUAGCAAGGGCAAUGGCUGCUCGGGCGCCUUCAAACGCCACUUGCCAGGGCUCAGCCAAGAAGUGGAUCUGUUUGGACACAGGUUGAUACCUAAGGGCAUCAAAAUACGCGAUCUACGCGCACAUGUAGUGUGGGGCUCUAGGAAAAGUGAAACCAGGUCUCAAGCUCGACGUCCAAGGAAAAGGGCUAAACCUGUCAGUUAUGAAUUCUGUAACACCAUUCCAUCUGAAUUGCAAAGUACACAGGGCGAAGACGUCUUUAUGCGCUGGAGGAGGUUGAUGUCACUUCGCAUUGCUUCCAUUCUACGGCAAGGGCCCUUCUCCUUGGUCAUUGCAUUGAAUACCCCCAAGACGUCACAAUCAUCCUGUUAUUUGCUUAACUUUUUAGUGAAAGAAUUCGCAUAAUACUAAAACGGUACUCCUACAAGCGUUUCCCUCGAUCCUUUCAACAGUUGCACCCUAGUUCUUUGCCUUCCUCCCGUCUCUUGGCGCAUCAGCUUAUUUGCUUGGCGCUCUAGAGCCAGAAUGUCUUAUGCGUGAGUUUCAAGCUCUUGGUGCGCCCGGCAUAGUUCAUGGUCCUGACGGACACUUCUCCUGCUUACCGUAGGUAUCUCUUCAAGUACAUCAUCAUCGGCGACACAGGUAAGCUGCUGUCAUGUCUCUUAGGGAUUAGGGUACAUUGGCUGAACCUUGAAGCUCGGCUGUCAUAGGCGUCGGCAAGUCAUGCCUGCUACUUCAGUUCACCGAUAAGCGCUUCCAGCCAGUGCACGACCUUACCAUUGGCGUGGAGUUCGGCGCUCGGAUGAUUAACAUUGAUGGCAAACAAAUUAAACUCCAAAUUUGGGAUACGGUAAGCUCGGGCGUCCAGGGGGCACAGCAGGGUGUAAGUGAUUUUUGACAUACAACUUCUUUCUCAGGCGGGGCAAGAAUCUUUCCGGUCUAUUACCCGGUCAUACUACCGCGGUGCCGCUGGCGCGCUGCUUGUCUACGACAUUACACGGUAGGAAAGCGCGCGAGCUGUGAGUCUAUGGUAGGCGUGUACUUAUUCAAAAUGUCAUGUAGGCGCGAGACCUUUAACCAUCUGGCCAGCUGGCUGGAGGAUGCGCGGCAGCACGCCAACCCAAACAUGACCAUCAUGCUUAUUGGCAACAAAUGUGAUCUUACGGUAAGGGUGACUUACCUGUCAUGACAUGUUCAUAUUUGGAACAUGGGCCUCACGCCUGCUACCCUCGCGCCUGUGAUAGCACCGUCGAGCUGUAACGACGGAGGAGGGCGAGCAAUUUGCGAAGGAGCAUGGGCUAAUCUUCCUGGAGACUUCUGCACGGACAGCCCACAACGUUGAGGAGGUAGGGUAGGGUAGGGGGAACGGUGUGAUGGUACCAUUUUCUAAACGGGAAUCUCCGGCGGAGGGAAGGGGGUUAGGAACAAUAGCAAGGUCGAAUCCGUCAACCGGGGCAUGGCUAUGGAAGAAGGUUAUUUGGUCCAUGUGCACAUCAAUCUACGAAGUGAUAGCUGUAUGUCACAGGGGUAGUCCUUACGUAAGGAAAGUGAAUGGACUUCUGGUCUUUGCCUGGGUGGCUUGGGAGGACUCUGCCCAUUCCGCUCUGAACACCCAGCUCCGAGGUGGGACCUUUCAGCCGAUAUGAUCAUUGAGCAAUGCGGCAUGGCGGGGCAAGGGAAGUGGCGCGGCAGUGGAUACGCUGCGUUGCGCAUAGCCUCCAUCGCAGUCAGGGCGGUGCAGUAGUGGGGGUCGUUCCAGCUGUGUGCCUUGGAGGCAUCCAGCUCAACUCCUCGCAGAGGAUUGGGGCAGCCUACUCUAAGCUGUAGUGGGAGCCCGGAGGUUUUCGUGCUGCUGCUUCGAAGGCGUCUCCUGGCUUGUAAUCCUGCCCAUUUGGGCCUUCUUUUCACUUGCAGGCCUUCAUUAACACCGCAAAGGAGAUUUACAAGAAGAUCCAGGACGGUGUUUUCGACGUCUCCAACGAGGUAAUAAUUUUGGCGGCCGGGGCCAUAUCAGUAGCCGGAGAAAUAAUUACCGUUUUGGUUCCGACCCUCGCCCAUGGGAUUGUGAUCUUCAAUCUUGGCCAGAAGACUUUGGUUGUAUCCGCACUGCCACUGCAGUCGUUUUGCCCGGCCCGGCGGCCGCCCACCAAAUCCAGUGUGUAAAUUUGGAACCCACAUGAAAAAUAACCCACAUUGCAUAUGGCCUCUUCCCGGUCGCUAUCCCGCGCAGUCAUACGGCAUCAAGGUCGGGUACGGCGCCGGUAAUGCCGGUCCGCAGGCCGCCAAGCCUGGCGAAGGUGAUGCACGCAAAUCCAGCUCUUGCUGCUAAGGAGUGCAUGUCGGAGUGUCGCAUGGGUUCCGCGGUGAAGGCAGCAGGCGGCGGUGUGAAGACGCAAAGGGGCCCCCGGCGCAGUGCAGCGCGCUUGCAUGCAACGUGUGGGCAGCAGGACUGGCAGUAUCAAGCCGCGGCAGUGACCAGGGCUGAGCGCGGCCUUGUCUUGGAUUAGCUAGGCGACGCCGUCGCCUAUCAGGUUGCCUGGAGGUCUGCAGCUUGGAGUAGGGGCGACCCGUUCGUGUCAUUGGGCAGUUCCGCAGUUGCUGCAACUCAGUCCAGAGUCUGGCCAACAUUAGGGUGUUGGGGAGAGCGGCGCUUUGGUGAGAGGGAGGGCUCUGGUGGGGACCGCGUCGACUGAAAGCGUGGGGGUUGUUGUGAGACAGGCAAAAGGCCUGGGCAAAGUCUGAGCUGGGGGAUUUUCUAGGCGAAUUCUUUGCCGGUGGGCUUGGGACUAAGGUGCGAAAGGGUGGCGGCAAAAUGGGCCGUGGUGGACCAUAAAAUGAAGAUUACUAGCUACAUACUGGCUUACCGCCAUUUAGAAUUGGUACACUCCACCGUUACAAUGACGCAUGUGUGUAUGACUUGUGGUCAAAGUUUGAUUCUGAACUGCAUCAGCGCCGUGUAGCCUGUCGUCGUUUUGUAGCGGAAGCUCUGGUUGCAUGUGGCUGGGAGAUGGGAUGUUGCCGGUUGUCGGGACGUCAUGUUCUAGAUGCUCCUGCUGCACCCUGCAUGUGUGGCGUUUCGUUCUCUUGCCACUCUUAGCUCCUGUAAACCUGGCGGAGGAGCUGUCAGGUCGAAGGGGAAAUACCGGUUGCGAGAGACAGAGGCGGCUGCAUUUGAUGGGGUGAAUAUAUAUCCCUAUCGCAUGGAUGUUGGUUGGACAACGCAUUCCGCAUUCCAUCGCGGCGGUCUCGGGCUUUCCGGGAGUGUUGGGGAAGGAGGUACUCCACAGGUGUUGGCUGUGUGGUCUUGCGGUGAGGCCUAUGUACGCUAAAACCAGCAUGUUGAACCAUUGCUUACAUCAUUGCGUAUCAACGACUGAGCAAUAGAUAUCCAUGACGCCAAGGGAACGCUGGGUAUAUAUACAUGUGCAAUUGGCGUUAUGGUAAAUCAUUGGUCGCGCCCUGGGUGCGCAAAGGCCGCCUCUUGAGUGAAGUUGUUGAGCCGCAGUCGGCCGCAUUUGACCCAGUCACUGUCUAGACCAGCAUGCGGCAAAGUCAGGUAUUUCAUACCCACCGCUUCUCUAUGCACCAUUACCACCACUCUGCAACAUUUUGACCCUGCAUGCGUGCGUCAUGUGCGAGAAACACGCGUCUCCGCUGCAAUACCUUGCCAUGGUCAUGCCAUUACCCCUUACCGUACGACAACCGCCUUCUUUACCGAUCCAUUCCCCUACUUAUUCGGAAAUGCUUCCAAUAUCGCCCAGUUCUUUCCAAUAUAACAGGCACACGUAUCUUACCACCGGGCACAAUGCAUUGACAAACGCGUCCGCACCCUAUCAGCGGCCUGGGAGUCCCUUGCUUUGCUUGACGCCUGACUAUCGUAUAUGCGGUCUUUAAUAUUAAUAGCGCCGCACAGCCACACAUGUCAGUGUUAAGACACCCGGACAGUUGAAUGCGACGAGUCCAAUCCAACCCCCACACCAAAAAACACCCUCUUCCAAAGCCACUGCCGCAGUUGCAUGCCCCGCAAGCCUGACCACGACCCGCCAAACUAACAGCCUCAACAGCUGUUACCCUUGCAGCUAUCUAAACCAUGGUCAUGCAAAGCCCCCAACAAAAUCCUCCAACUUGACGAAAUGCAUUGACGCGCGCGCGCCUCUUUGCUGAUGCGUGGGGCAAUAUCAGCAAACCCACACACUACGUGGCAUCAACUUCGCAGCUACAUAUGUUACAAACACACUGCACAAAAACACACCGCACAGGUCGACUACAUUACAUUUUCGGGACCGAACGGAGCUCGCGAAGAAGGACCUUGCAGCCUUCCCGCGCGUACAUGCGAAACACUAUUCUCAUCUCGUGUAUGUCUUCCCAGCAGCCACCAAGCAUGCUCACCCUUACGUUGCCGCCACGACUGCCAGUCGUCACUAGCUUCCUUCUCUCCCCAAGCAAAAGCCCGCACUGACCCAAUGCCGACCCACAUCUUGACCCCCUUGAUUGACACCCCUGUCCCACCCUCUGCCCUUCACACGCACUCGCACACACGCACGCACGCAUGCCCCUAUAGCCAAGUAUGCAGAUCUCGCCACUCGCUUUAAACACCGCCACUCUUCUCCACGUUUUUCUUCACCGUCACCCAACAUCUCAUUCGUCGUCCCCACACCUCCUCCAGCACCUCAUCCCCACGUACCUCACGGCCUCCUCCACCUCCUCCUUUUCCUCCUCCACCACAUCAUCCUCCCCUACUACCACCACUCACACCGCUGGCGCUCCAGCUGCAUGAGCGAGGCAUACGUGAGGUCGGAGAUGCCCACAAACAGGCUGGAAGAGUCAGGCGUGAAGGCGAUGCCCGCAAUCUCACCGAAAAAGUCAUGUUCCUGCAAAAGAGAGCGCUUGAAGGUUAUAGCAGGAAAAGAAUAAAACCGCCGAAUCAGGCAUUCGACCCAACCAGGGGGUGAGGUGCAAUGCACGCGAUAUAAAAUACGGUCAAUCACAUCGGCAUCACCAAUCCCUUCCCCCACUCUUUCCUUCAUUCCUUCGUGGUUCGCCUUUCCCCCCGGAUCCCAUUCUCCCUUCCCCCCUCCCCAAAGAAGCGCCAACCUUUCACGUACCUGGCAUUCCUGGAAGCCGCUCGCCACGUCGUACACGUGUACGAAAUCAGCGGGUUCACUCAUGGCCAGGAAGCGGCCGUCGGCUGUGAAGCGCAAAGACCGAAUCGCGCCCAUCCUGAGGUGUGUCACGUGCGUGUAUAUGGCGGAUAUUUGCAUAUGGGGGGUAGUGGGGGGUUGAACCUAAUCACGAAGCCGAGGGUACACUGUCAAAACAUUCCAAGCCCCAUGUGGGCGGGCCAGGACCAAUCAAUCCUGACAAUGAUCCCAAUCAUUCCACCAUUCACCAAUUCAUUCAGCUGGGAAGAAAGGAAGAAAGGAAGGACGGGGGGAACCUGGAAGCCUGCCACGAGCAACCCCAACCCGCCGUACCUCUAGAACCUUCAGAUGUCCCAAUCCGGCAUCGUAACUCCUUCACCCACCUCACGUACCUCCCCUUUCCCCUUUCCUACCACCCUUUCCCCUUUCCUACCACCCUUUCCCCUUCCUACCUCCCCUUCCCCUUCCCCACGUGCGGCGAUGGGUCGAACGUCCUCUCAUCCCAACCCCAUUCCCCCCGUCCCUUCCCAUCCCUUCAUACCUUCCCGCCAGCCUCGUAAGCGGCUCCCUCGUCUGUCGUACAUCCCAGACCAAGGUGGUGGUAUCCUGGUUGCCGGUGGCCAGCAGCACCCCGCCGGGGUGCCAGGAGGCGGCGAAGGAGAAGUCCUGAUGACCCUCCAGCCGAGCCACGUCGGCGCCUGGGAAGGAAGGGAGAGGGUAGAGGAGGAGCAGACGGGACAACAAGGAGGCGGCGUUGGGGGUGAGCAGUCAGCGGUGUGUCCCUUUUUACCAUACACUCCAGUUGGAAGUUAAAACUUAGGGUCUUCCCCCCUAGCUAGCAAACCCGCAGGUACGGUUUUAGCCACACGCGGCCAUACUUUCUUUUCUCGUCCUCUCGGGCGCCGCCCCCUAAACACACGCACGCACACAGCGUGUGCUGAGGUUGGUUGUGUUGUGAGAGGGCCUUCGUAGCCACCGUGCGCUCUUUCAUCAUCGAAUAUAUGAGUGAGGUAGAUGGACACCGGGUGGGUUGCGCGCCCUGGGACGAGCAGUACUAGGGGACUGUGGGGCCGGCCCCUCCCGCGCCUCCCCUUCCGCCGCUAGGGGGAGAGAGCUUCGGCGGUCGCUCAUUCCCGUUAAGGGGUUUGUACGGUACGGUUAGGUGCACCCCCUGGCCAGCGUCAGGCCCGGAUGAAUGCUAAACAGUGACACGCACACGCACACGCGCGCGCGCGUGCGCACACAAAUCUUCCCACACAGGACAUUAACUCGCUGAUCCCCACGUGUGUUGUUGACGUGGCCGACGGUUCCUUCUUAACGGUGCGUGCCAAGAUUAUACAUACAUACAUACAUACUUGUGCUGUGUGCUCCCGACCCUUGCGCUGUGUUUCGGCUUCGGCCCCCGGCUCUCGCGGCCCGCAGUGUAAUCUAAGUCAUACAUACAUACAUACAUACAUACAUACAUACAUGCAUGCAAAUGCAUGCACACACACUGCCAUCGACUCAUGAAGCAAGGCACGCAGAUCGACCCCCACCCACCGUUGUGCACGUCCUUGAGCAACGUGGCCGAAUCGUCCCCAACCACCGCCGCCAAAUGGGAAUGGGGCCUUAUGGUCGCGUAGUUAACCGCCCAGUCAAACGGCCACUGAGCCAACGGCCGCAAACUGCCCUCCCCAUGCGCCGCCGCAAAAAGCCGCAACUUCUGGUCGUUAUUAGCCGACAUAAUAACGGUCCCGUGGGCUCGAUCGUUGAAUAUCUCCAGACCGUUGGUGAUACCGUUGUCGCUGAGGGCGGGAAGGGCGGGAAGGGACAGCACAGGACGGGGUUCACAGAACGAGUAAUAAGGAUCGGAAAAGACAGGACCAAGAUGAGACUCGGUGUACGGCAAAGGGCUCUUUCUCACCUGGACGUAAUUCGGCCGCAGUACAGCAAUGAGCCGCUGCCUGUCCUCCCGCCGCCGCCGCCGCCGCCACCGCCGCCACCGCGGUUUGGGGCCAUGGGCCAUGGCGGCGCUACUCCAGCACCAGCACCGCCGUGGGUGCGUGCCGCGGCGGGCGCGAAGCGGCCGCCGCCGCCACGUGCAAAAGCGGUCCCGGCGGCCGCUGCGUCGGCGUCCGCAGCGUCCGUGACGGUCCUGAGGCGCUUCACCACGAGCUCCCCGGUGAAGCCACCCGCAGCAACUAGGUCGCCAGAAACACACAACGUGCUGACCUGCGCAUAACGACCACCACCACCACCACCACCGCGUUAGCACGGCAAACAGCAAUUGGAGUAGUCAUGCAGGCAUCUCCAGUUUCGGAGCGAAAACAGAUAUAAAAGCGAGUGCCCCACCCCUUGCCCAACCCCAAUUACUUUGGGACCACAAAGGAUUGAACCAGACCCUAACUGCAUUGGGUUGAGCGGUAACAAACACAGGACGGAACGUAGCUGAGACUGUACUACUAAUGAAGACGCUUAGGGGGAGAGGAGGGAAUCGCAUGAUGAUGGUGGUGAUGAAGGUGAUGAUGAUGAUGAUGAUGAUGAUGAUGAUGGUGAUGAUGAUGGUGGUGGUGGUGGUGGUGAUGAUGGUGAUGAUGAAGGUGAUGAUGAUGGUGAUGAUGGUGGUGAUGAUGAAGGUGAUGAUGAUGGUGAUGAUGAUGGUGAUGAUGAUGAUGGUGAUGAUGAUGGUGAUGAUGAUGGUGGUAGUGAUGCAAAAACAAAUCAGCUGCCGAUGUCCAGGUCCAAAGAACAUCCUUGAGAAGGACAGACCUACAUAAAGAUGUUCCCAACCUACUUGCACUCGUCCAAGGGACCGAAUACGACUGAUGUCGUCACCGGCGCGGUGGACGGCGCCACCGCCUCCGCCUCCACCAUCUCCACCACCUCCACCCCCAAGAUUCAAAACCUCCGUUAUCGUUCGCGCUGCAGGAUUCCAAUGCUUGACGCAGUUGUCGUGCACAACAAACACGUCGUUCGGGCUGCUGGCCCAGACUAGGUUCCGGAGCUGGAAAUGUACGAUGUUGGACUGUACGGCACGACUGUUGCGGACAAAGGUAAAGAAGGGCGGUCCACGCGCGGUGGUGGCGGCAGUUCCGGCGCGCCGCGGCGCGGCGCAGAGAGGCGCGAGCUCGGCUCGGUAGGCGCCGCCGUUGUUGUCAGGCAGAACGUUUGUAUAGUUGCGGUACUGGCGUAGGCGCGUUUCUCUGUAUGUCGAGCGGUUGAACUGGAGCCGUUCCCAGGGGAUGCCUUGGAUGUCCUGAUGCGGUUGUGAGGUGAGGUGAGGUGAGGUGCCGGAGAGGACACGGAAAGGAAUGCGACGGCGCGCGGGAGGUGACAUGGUGUGACAUGAGAAGCGUGAUCAGUACGUCAGCAUGACGUCAUGCGUGAUGAAAAGGAAAGGUGAGGUAGGACCGCGAUGUAAAGCAGGGGAGAGACAUGAGGGACGCGAUGCUGAUAAGAGUGGAGUGAUGAAAGGACGGAAGUGUAUUUAUAUAUAUAGUGUAUUUAUAGUGUAUAGUGUUUAUAGUGUAUAUAUAUAGUGUAUUUAUAGUGUAUAUAUAUACAUAUAUUUAUUUAUCAGGGCUAUCAGCUAUUGCCUGUUAGCACAACUCGCGAUUAGCCGCGCAAAACAGCACACAUUCAUCACGUCGCCGCCGCCGCCGCCGCAGCAGCAGCAUUCUCGGACCAAAACAAGACACGACCACAGCGCAGCAGAGACAUAACCAGAUCCCCCCGCUGGACAUCAACGUCAUUUCUUAUCCGCGUGCCAGCUCAGUAAGCAAGUUAUACAGGUCUCCUGGGGGCUCUCUGCCACCCAGGCAACCUCCAGAGGCGCCGGUAGCUUUAACUGCCUCAGAACCCUCUUGUCUCAUGAGGAUGACAAAACCAAAUUUAAAUAAAGCAGAGACAACUGCCGCCGCCUGUGUCGGUCAAUUUGGGCCGCGGUUCCCCUCCCCUUGAUCCUUUCCCGACCCCCUCAGCUCUCUCUCAGCAUCUAAUUCCUCUCUUCAAAAACCCCAAGUGUUUGCUUUCUGCAGUUCGUUCAUGCGUGUGCCCCCUUUUUUUCCUUUCCAAAUGUACCCCUCUGUGCUUGGCCCCUGAAGGGAAUUUACAGGAAUCCUCUGAGACGAUCCAUCUUCCUACAUACCUUUGGCUGCCCUGCCGCGUAGUACUGCUCUGCCGUCGUGUCAUUCUCCUCCUCCUCGUCCUCACUCCAAGGAUCCACGGAAACGUACUCGGGGCCCAGACGGUACUGCAGACACGACCCGGCGCUGCCGCUGGGGGCCGCCCCCCCGGCGGCGGCGGCGGCGGCGGGUGCACUACUAGGGCCCGGCCCGGCAGAACUAGGGCCAGCGGCCGCUCCUGAAAAACCUACGCCAGCACCGCCGCUCCCAGCAUUGCGUUCGUUAGCAGCCGGCUUGGCUCUAACAUUACUGCCUGCAAGCCCACGGCGGUAUAACAGUACCCGGGGGGUGCGCUGGCCUGCCAUGCGCGGCGCACCGCUACCACCGCCACCGCCGCCGCUGCCCCCAGCGGGUGGGCUGUGUAGGCGAUGUGCGUACCAGGCACUGUUGACUUGCCGCGCCCAGAGAUUCCUAUGAGGCGGCGGCGAAGCAGCAGCAGCCGCUGCCGCCGCCAACAUGUCGCCAACGCGGUUCGACUCGAUGAUCGCUGCGGCGGCUUCGGCGCCACCGUCCAGGAGACGGUCAUCGUCCUCGUCAUCGUCAUCUUCCUCAUCCUUGUCAUAAGCUAAAUCAACAUCGUUCAUGUCCUCCGAACCGCUGGUUUCCGUACUUCCGUACGCCGCGGCGUCAGCGUCGGCGUCGGCAGCGUCGCCGAUUCCAGUAGCCAUCGGGGGUGCAGCUCUGCUGACGUCCGCGAAGCCCUGUCGCCCGGGCUGUAGCUGCGCUGCGGUGCUUGGGUGACAGCUACAGCCGGUACCGGACCCGCCAGGCCCUGUUGCUGCUGCUGCUGCUGGUGCAGCUGCCGCUGCAGCAGACACGUCCUCAUGCGCCAUCACUGCAUCAUCAUCAUCAUCAUCAUCAUCCCUUGCUGCAACCUCCCAACCUUUCCUAGCGCCCGCGUCUUCCUCCGCUUGUAGCCCCAACCCAUCCUCGGACCACACGCCUCCAUCGUCUUCCUCCCCCCAAUACCCCCGCCCCGCAAAGCCCUCAUCGUCCUCGUCCUCGUCGUAGCCCUCCUCGGCCGCACCUUCUGCCAACGUGUAGGAAUAGAACGACGUUAAGGGUGCAUGAGCAGCUGUGUACGGGUCGUACUCCAUGUACGGACACACCGGCCGCACUGUUGCUAUUGGUGGCGUCGCCGCUGCCAAGCCCCUGCCAGAGGUGGUUGGCCCCGCUGGUGCGGGCGCUGGUGCUGUGGAGGGUCCCGCUUGACGCGCCUCAGCUGCUUCCUCCCCGUCCCCCCCUUCCCUGCCGCAGCCGCCUCCCGCUCCUUCGUGACUGCAGCCGGGCAGCUCCAUCCCACAGGCAUCCGCUGCAACUGUGGGUACCGGGGCUGGAGGGGACCGUCGCCACCCGGCUGGGGCCGGCACGUCGUAAGCGGUCCUCCCACACGCCUGCGACCCAUCUCCUAGCGUGUGCAUGUGUAUGGUCGGUGGGGGGGUUGCAGCGUGUGGGUGAUAGGGGGUAGGUGAGGGUGCGGACCAUCCAGGAGUCGACGCUGCGCUGCCGCAACCGCCGCCAUCUGGGUGGUUGCCUGCUCCGAAACCCAAAUGGCCACCAGCUGGACCGGAAGGAUGACCACCGCCACAGGAGCCGGAAAAGACUGAGGCGGAGACUAGGGAAGUCGCGGCCGCGGCCGUGGCCGUGGCCACGGCAGACGCGCUACAAGACGGUGGAGGACCGGAGCCGGAUGCCGCCUGGCAAGGUUGCUCGUGCUGCAAAUUGGCUGAGGCAGGACCGUGACGUAGUAGCAGCCUCUGCGCUUGCAGGUUCUGGUGUUGUGGCUGAAAGUCUUGGGAAAGGGGGAAGGCUGACCCCUCGAGGUGCUGUCGGUGAACGGUGGCAGUCAAGUGGGAUGCCAGAGCUGCCGUAUGAUGCUGUUGGUCAACGUCCAUUGCCUCAGACGAAUCCAUGAUGGCCGGCGACUGGUCCAGCAUCGCCACCGCCCGUGCGUCGGUGGUGCCAUGAAGGUCGGAUGCACCGCCUGGGUUGCUUGCCAUGUCCCGCAGGACAGACAAAAGAUUAAGGCCUUGCUGUCAAUCUUGCUGUUUGUGUUGUCUGUGAAGUAUGGCCUGUGGAACCGCGGAGCACUCCGCUCUGCUCUCGUUUCACCAGCAGCUUGCAAGCUCCUUGAAAUGAAGCCUUACAGCGUCUCUAGCUUCAGUCUCCAAGACGCUGCAUCUCAAGCUGAUGCGCCUGCCUGCUGCGAGCUUAACGUCUCCAAGCCGAUACGAUGGUCUCAAUACAAAUGCCCGGCCGGUCAAGAAACAAGCUCUUAUGCAAGAGGCCUUACAAAGAGCAAUAUGGCAGGCGUAGUAAGCAUUCGGCAAAGACGAAGUGCGUUCAGGUGUGUUCGGGUUUUCUUAAAUUUCGACCUAGCUUCCAGGCGUUUCCUAGCAAUAAGAGGAUUUAAUUCUUUCAUGAAGGGCUGAGUCCUUGUUCAAUGUAGCGAGCCCCGUUAGGUUUUCGGACGAAUGAGGUGAUGGGCCCGCGGGGCAGAGCUGUUGGAAAACACCCGAGAUGCACCUCUAAUACCUUUAUUCAUGGACGCGGUCAGUGCUAUGACCUGGGUUUGGAUAUAAAUUUUCCCCCAACGAAAUAGCAGUGACCUCUGGUUUCCCGGUUGGCACUGCAAAUCGAAAGCGGGCAGGGCGCCCUUUAGGUACUGUUUGGUGCCCAGAAGACAGAGCCAAUCUGUCUUCCAAGUAUAACCAGAUACGGCAGGCAGCUAGGUUCGCGUAGAAGCUUUGCCCGGCACGGGGACCGCACUUCCGGUAGGCGGAACAAGGUAAUUCCGGAUUCCGUUCCGCGGGCUCCCAAGUCGUCCCGGAACGCAAACGGCAAGUCCUAUGUAGCAUAACCUGAUAUUCCUUGUAAGCAUUGGCGAUUUUGGAGGAAAUUAUUGUGAUGUGCCGCCAUUUUGCGCGCAAUACUAGCUGGGCUCCUUCCUGCAAUCCCGAAGCAGGCGCCGCGAUGAGACUCGGCCGGUCCACCUUGAUGGCCAUGGCUGUGGUCGUGGUUAUGCUUCUUGCUGCGGCUGAGGCCCGUCAAGCGCAGCAGCUAGAUGGCGUUUGGUAUGAGUCCCUCUCGGCUUCUGACUGCAAAUCCUUCAAGGGAGAGAGAAAUGAACCAUCGACUAGCCAAGGUAAUGCUGCAACAAGUUAUGGUGCGAUAACCGGUCGCGCUCUCCCUUGAAUUCUGGGCGGCCUUACGAAGCUGUUCGUCUCCGCUGAGGCUACGGCCAAGCCCCAUAGCCAAGGCCACACUUGCCACGACAGCGGCUGGCGGACCAUCCUCUUCCCGACUUCCAAUUCGGUCCUCUGCUUGUUGCACAUGUUUCCCAAUUCCUCACACUACCGCACCCUCAACCCAACCCGAGACGGCAUAGCUUUUGUGGUGCACAUGUCUUCCAUCUCCGACCCACAAGAUAUAUUUCCGGGUGAAAAUACAUCUGUUAAAAUACUGUUGAUUAUCCUGCGUCCUUCUGCAAUACUUCAAUUUGUCCCCUAGGUGUCAGGGCUCCCCUUUGCCAUCCCAAACCUGCCUUGCGGCCACAAAUCCCAUCCAAGACAAGUGUGCAGUAAUUGGAGCCACACGUGAAUGAACUGCACUACAAACUGUAUGGGGACAACCUAGGAAGUCAUUCCUCCUUAGCUUGCAAGAGCGCUUCCCCUAACACUCUGGGGUGUCGCAGCGGCCCAGAGCACGAACUCGUACGACACACAUGCCGUACCAUGUUCCCAUAUUCCAAUGAACUCUUAUUACUCCGCUACCGAGGCCUUUUGAUACCCCUGUAACCCGAAAAGCCUUGUUGUUUCGCUCUUGCCCAAAACAUUCCCCAACGUAGUUGUGAAAAGGAUCCCAGUAGUGCUAUGCUUAUCAGCAUCUUACCUCGUUCCUGGUUUAUUCACAGGCUAGCAACUUGCUUGAACAGAUUUCUUACUUAGCCCUGCCCCGACGACAUAUCAAACACGGAUUCAUUACUUCGGAAAUCACUCUCAAGAUUUUGCACUCCUUGCUCCUACACAUGAAACCCCGCCGUACACACGAUCAGCUAUACCUGCCGUAUUUCGUAACGGCGCCUGGAGUCCCGGCCAUUCCACCAGCCGCAACGCCUACAUAGCUGCAUUGCUAUCCAAGGAUGUGUACUUCAAGCACGUGAUUGAGCCACAUGCCGGUCGAGCCGCGCGCCAUAACUUCACUCUCUUCGCGCAGCUAUUUUGCCGCGCUAUGGUCCACCUGGGCGCCGAUGAUUGCGAGUGAGUGGUCAAGCGAAGCAGUGUCGACUGUGCGAACUGGCCAGGUAACUAGGGAUUGGACGGCAGGUUGAGGUGUGGUAUGGAGUGCAGCGUAGUAGUAGAUUGCAGAGUUGGAGGCAAAGGAGUAGGCAGAGGUCAAUGGACAGUGCUGCAAUGCACAGCCGAGCAAAGCGGAGUAGAGUGGAAUGCAGAGAAGAAGGGGAAGAGGCCGUCCGAAGCGAGAGCUGCCUUUGAGAAGAAAAUAUUGAGGAAUGGGAGGCACAUUGGCAAAGUGGGCAAGAGCACGAGCAACCAACAGGCGCUGUCCAAAUCACCUCAUCGCUAAAACCACUAAAACCCAAACCCUUCAAAAAAACCAAUCCGCCCACAUAGGUCUCGACCGCAAACGCACAAGCAGCCACGCUAAACCGAAAUCGCAAUCCCACUGCCCAGCCACACACAACCCGAACACGAACGCAUACACGCGCUAAGACACCCAGACCUGCCGGGUCCCGUCGCAGGGUGGCGGCGGGUGCUGAGGCUCUAGUGUGGGCAGUGGUCCGAGCGGGGCCAUCAGUAAUGCUGGUAGUGAGGGGAUCCAACAGCCCGCAGAACUGGAUUACCGGUACGGCACUCGUCGCGGUUCUCCCGCCACCUUCCCAAUGUGUUCGCAGCCCAACACGACGUUCGCAAACCCCUGCGGGCCCCCCUCCCCCGCAAUCCAAUUAAUGCGGUGUCCCUCUCUCUCUCCGCAGACCUGGCUUCCUUCCGUCGUAUCAAUGUGGCAGAUUUCGGCGGGGGAGUCCGGGGCACGAAUGUGGCGCAAGGGUUUUACCAGGUGUGUGUGUGGGGGGGGGAGCACGUGCGCAACGCGCGCCCACGCGCGUGUGUGUAUGUGUGUGUGUGUGUGUGUGCGGUCAACUGCGUAUUAACAUGUGACUCUACUUUUUGGAAAGACGGAGGAGCUGCGAUCCUUUGAAGAAGGUAGGUAGGGCCGAUGCAAUGGCGUAGGUGAAUCGGGAAGCUGAGUCGCAAAAGCGAACAUCGCUGGACGGAGCCUUCUCGUCUAGGUGUUGAUGUACUUAUGACCGUUAGUUGUUUGAUGUUUGGUAAGCCCCGCGUUUUUCCUCAAGCGUGUGUCUGUACAUGCGUUUUGCAUUUGUUUAUUUGUCUGUUUGUCUUUUGUCUUGGUGUGUGCGUACGUGCUAUGUUUGUAUGUAUGUAUGUGUGUAUUACGCAGGGGGGGAUCUGCUGCCACGGUGGCGGGGACAUCCCUCACCACUACCUGCCAUUACCUACUUCGAUGCGCGCAAAGGCGGUACGGCGGAACACCGCUUUCCCCCGGUCGCACCUAUAGCAUCUUUGCCUAUCCUCUUUGAAAAAUGUUCGACUAGCUGUCGCCUGGUUUGCUGGCUAUCGUGUUACGCACCUAACAAAAGGUGUUCGCUGCCAAUCGGCGACACAUCAUAAAUCGAGUGCGCGCUGCCAUGGAUACGGCGACUGAGGCAGCCGCCGCAGCAGCGGCAGCAGUUGCUCCCUCAACCGUUGGCGGCCGCGGGAGCGGCGCGUACGGCAGCGUCGUCAGCGAUGACGGCCACGAUGGCCACAGCCCACGGCUGUGGGUGUUCGGCCACAGCUUGGGUGGCGCAGUAGCGCUCAUGGCAGCGUCGUAUCUUGCCGUACAGGAAGGUGAAUAGUGAAGUAAUUACAUACAUACGUGGCUACGUGCAUUCAUACUCGUAUUGAUCCCCGGGGCUGAUUUCCUGAUUUGCUGUCUGGCAAAAAAUGGCACGCGGAAAGGUGGACAGAGACGGGGUUGGGUGUAUGUGUGUGUAUGGAAGGCUAACGAAGGGAGGGAGGAGGAGGGGUUGCGGGGAGGGGGUUUCGGUUGGAAGUGGAUUCCCAGAAACCCCCAAAUCACCCACCCCCCUUAACACCUGUUUGUGUGUAUGUUUGUGUGUGUACAGGUCUGACUCCAACCGGCGUCUACACGUUCGGCUGCCCCCGUGCGGGAGAUCACACCUGGGAACAGGCCUACAAGUUGUGAGUGCGAGCGGCCCCGCCUCCUCCAGGUCCUGUGUACGGCAUCUCCGGGUGACCCCAUCCCUGCAGUUGCUUUCCCGCGCGCGCUAUAUAUGUCAUCGCAUCACACCCUGUGAAUGCCAGCGCGCGCAUCGGGAAAGCGGGAGAGAUGGAGAUUUCCGUUGUACUAUUCCGUGCGCCUUGGGUAUGCGUUUACGGUAAUGCGUUUACGUGUUAAGGGGAGUGCUAUCGAAUUUCAAGUUUUCUGGGCGAGUUGGGUUUUCGCCUCUGCCACUGCUGUCCUGCCUUUUGGUCUUUGCGAUGGAUUAAACGCGAAGUGAGUUAAUGAGUAUGGAGGCAAUGGAGGUGGAAUCUUGAUGAACACAGGAAAAAUGCAAAUGCAUGUAUGAUGAAAGUUGUGGAGUGAAGGUAAUUAGCAGGUAAUGAAACCAAAAACCCUAAAACCCAACCCUAAAAUCCUUCUUGCGUUACCCGCAAACCUGUAUUGACCGAGGUGUUCCUAAACAGACCCUCCGCCUGAAACGCCGUUUCCCGAGGCCCUAUUAUUCCGCUCCUUCCAAUUCUUCAACGCAAACGGUUCGGGCCGCGUCCGACCCGUACGGCUCGUACGCGGUGUAUUUGUGCCCCAGGCAUGACGUCACGCUGAGGCUUGAGAAUGCGGGCGACAUCGUCCCCGCGCUGCCUUUCGGUUCCGCCUGGCGGCACGUGGGCUCGGCGGCGCCUAUCCAGGCCUGCAGGAGCUUGCAACCGCAGCCGCCGCCGCCGCCGCCCGUCACGGCGUUAGUUACAGCGGCGGAAGGAGAAACUGUUCGGCAGCUUCGCGGCGCGGACGAGGGUGCCGGCGGUCGUGAGGACGACACGAUUGUGGCGACAGCGAAAGCCGAGUCCAACGGCAUGGGGACGGCAACCGACGUAGCAUUUCCAUUUCCCCCCCGGUCUUUCCGAGACCAUUGGGUGCAAACUUACGUGCUGGUGAUGUGGUCGUGUCUGCCCGAGUCCGACCAGGAUCUGGUUCCGGGGCCGGAAGAUCUGUACGACAGGCUUGACACAGAAGUUGCAUGAGGCAGGAGGUAUGGCGCUACUGUUGCUCAGUGGAAUACGGAGAGUUAGUCAUGUACAGUUAACUGUUAGAUUUAAAAUAAUGUGUUUGUGCUUUUAGUACUUUUUCAUCAGUCAACAUGGAUGCGAGCGAUCUUUUGUUUCAUUGCUUCGUGUAGUAGCCGGUACACUGUACAAAUACGCGCUAAGCGCGUCAACCAGCUUCUCGAGAGGCCUUUCCAGCGGCCAGCUACUACACUUCGCUCCCCCGUUCGUUGCUAUUGAAAUGACGUUUUCUUUUCUUGCCUAGAAGCCUACAGGUUGACGCGCUGGCCUUAGGGCACCGCUGCUUGCAUGCAUUUGUAAGUAACACACCUUCACGAGGGACGGGCAGGUUCGAUUCUUUUCGUCGCAUCUUUUUGUCUCGUCCAAAGCCAUAGCCACAGCUGCCGUGUGACGACAACCGCAGCACGAGCAGCAAAGUAAAAACAAAUGUGAAUGAAGGACAGGCCCGGUUCUCCCGGUACAUGAUCUGCAUCAUAAAACACAUGCCUGUCGUGACGCUAUCCCCCUCGAAAACAACCUCCAAGUCUGUCUGCGCGCCCCUCGCAACGCCACACCGGCCCAUCCCCAAUCUUAUUGUUGACCCAACCGAACUCACCAUUCCCGAACCAACAAGGAGUCCACCGCCAAUACCGCCCAAAGCCCAUACUGUAAAUACACAAAGACGACACGCACGCACAGAUACAAACCGCCAGGUACCACGUGUUGUAACACACAACGAACAAAGUCUCGUGUCCUGUCAUCUCCCCUAUAGACAUUUUUACCGAUACCUUUUUUCAACCCUCACCUCCCCAUACACAUACGCAACCAUAUGCACAGCAAACCGUAUGGGUACAGCGAAAACCAAAAGCCACGGAGCCGCCACAUCCCCGCGCACUACCCAGCACCAAGAUGGAACGCCUAGCCAGGCAUCCCAGAGAGACGUACACACGUACACACUUUCCACUGACAGGCUAAACCCGCGAGACAAGGUGCACGCGCAAGAAAGGUCCCCUCAAGCCACGUAAUUUCCGAAAAAGCCUGUAAACCUCCGCCUCGACCAUUCCCCCUUCCCAUCGGCCAAGAUCCAGCCGCAAGCAGAUAAGAGGGAGUGAAAGAAGGGAAGGAGGCGAGAUGUAUUUGCUACGAUGCAGGCGGAUGAACCGGACAGGUUGGAACCAACAGAGAAGGAGCAGAGGACCAGGACACGCUCUCAACAAGAUAGGUGAAUGGAUGGAUGGAUGACGAAAAGGCAAAUUUGGCAAGAAGGGGGAUAAGACGCUCUUGAGUUGCAAGAGAACACGCUUACUGCUGCUCCUCCUCCUCCCCUCUUUUUCCGGGACCAAAGGGGCUAGGACCGUGACCAUCCUAAACACAAGCUGGCUCACACGCAUGGAUAUGAUGCCACGUGCAAGGAGCUUGGCUCUUUUGUGUAGCUUUAUGCUCCCCUCCAUGUCUUCCCUUCUUUGUGCUUGGGGCAGCAGCAGGACGCCAGCAGCAGAGCUAACUCCCAAAUCUCUCUCUGUUUCUGCCGCCAUACCCCAACCAGCCGCACUUGGGUGGUACUGCCACGUCGCGCCUUGCCAGCGUUUGACGCGUCCUCCCUCUUCGUGUGUAGCACCUACCACCUACCAUACCCACCCAUCCACCGGAGUUCACCCCAGGCCACCGGUCCAUACACCCCACCGGGGCAAACUCAGGGAUCCGCAUACAUACAUACACAUGCACAUACAGACAUACAUGUGCGCCACACACGCAAUGCCGCCACGGUGGCAGCCGCUGCGGCACGCAGUGACGUGGUACAUGUCUUCGGACCUGCCCAGAGCCCCAUGGCCUCCCUCCCUCCCUCCACCCCCCUGUCAUCCAAGCCCCUGCACAAAAAUCCUAAAGCCCUCAAUCGCGGUUCGGUUGUACCGCACCCCACAGACGGGCACACACACACACGCAUGCCAGGACAGUUCGGCUGAGGCCACCGAUUUUAACUCCCCAUAGCGCAAUAAACGCAUGGAGUCGUGUGUAGCGGGUGCAUGGAGGAGGUGGAGGGAAGCGGUGUAAGCAGUAAGGGGGGCAAACCUGAACAGGAUGGCCGUCUGGAUGGGUAUCCUUGUGCGACAUAGCACUCUUAAUGCCAUUGUCAUUUUCAUCAUCAUCAUCAUCAUCAUCGUCAUCAUCGUAACGUGGUGAAAUGUUUACCUAGACCGCAAGGGGGCUGCUGACACAAUCCGUAGCUGCACUUCUGAACCCUCUCAUUCCAACUUCUUUUCCAUCACCUCAAAAACCCAAAGUCCUCAUCCACCCCCCCAACACGUCUCUUCUUCUCUCCCAAGAGGAAGCAGCCCCCUACCCCGUGGGGAUACUCCUCUCUCCCAACCAUGCGCUCCACCCUACACCCUCCACCGCCACUAGUUUCACGACUUUUGUUUAUAAAAGUAGUACUACCUUUAUCAACUCCACGCCACCAUUAAACUUCGCUUCCGCCACCAAGCCCUCCCGCAUCAUCCCGCCCUCCUUUGUUCUGCCUCUUUCCCUCCCUGCGCCAGCCCCAGCCCCGUCAGCGACCCGCCUCCCGCCCCCCACGGCCCGAUACACGCCGUAUCCGCAUCCGCCCCUCACUUUCUCCAUUGAAUAUGGAGAGAACACCACAGCCCGGCUACUCUUGCUGCACGGUAUGGUGGAGAUUAACCUGCCUUAACCGUCCUAGACUUCUCGUUAUGGCGCUUCGAGUUUGACGCGAUGGACACCGCCGGCAUCACUUGGCGCUUCACUAUCCGGUUGUGGCUCAACGGUGACAACCCUAGGUCCGUAACGUGCUAGAGGUGAGUCAGGAAUAGUAUCAUGGGUAGGAACAUGGAUCGGCGUCAGUGCCGACCGGGUGCCGUCACCUCGUUCGCCAAAUAGCGCCUAGCGCUCGAAGAAACCGCACACACACACACAAGCUUCUAUCCAAGCUGUGUUGGGCUGUUGGAGUGGACAUUAGGGUAGGGUCAGUCCUAGGGGCCUGUGGGGCUCCGUGGGGCAGCGGACCAUAUCCUGUCAAUCAUAUGGCGCUCCGCCGCCCCCCCAUAUUUCUUAGGGUUUUGCCCUACACGGCCGGCGGCCAGUGCUCCAUCCAACCAUCCAUCCAUCCAUCCAUCCAUCCCACCUGCGUGCUCCUUAACCAAGACAACUGACGGUGGGGACUGUGCUCCCUCCAUGUACGGGCGAAAGAGCAGAGACGAGAGCAGCGAAGCGAGACGAGGGAGGGGCCCCGAGCUCACCCAACUGACAGCGCCUCACGUCAUCCCACACCUUUUCACGUCCUCGCCUGGAUGAUCGGCUGCCUGGCUAGAUGACCGACUUACUUGCUGUGGCUGACUGCCCCUCCUGACUGCCAACGGAGAGCGUCAGCCGUGCCCCGUGAGCUACUUGGGCAGUCAGCCACUGCCCCUCCUGACUGCCAACGGAGAGCGUCAGCCGUGCCCCGUGAGCUACUUGGGCAGUCAGCCACUGCCCCUCCUGACUGCCAAGGGAGAGAUCGCUAAGGGCAGGAACACCACCAUCGAAGCAACCACCACACCACACCAGACCCUGACAUGACCAGGAAAGCGCGCGCACAGCCAACGUCGUCCCACCCACCUACCCCUCCACGUGCGAAGAAGACAGGAUGGCAAGAUGCGGCAGCUCACGACAACGCUGACGACAACGAAGACGGCGACGAAAAAAGAAGGCGUUGGUGGAUAAUGGCGGAGGCGAAGGCGGAAAAGGGAGAGAACACCAAAAAAACCGACGCCGGAGGGAGAUCACACCGUUUUCAGCCACUUCAGAGGGCCAGCCUCAUUCCACCCUCCCCUCCCCCAUACACGCGCGCACAACGGAGAAGGAGCCGUUUCAGUCCGAUUCGGCUCUCAGGCCGCAGGUCGCAACAAUCGCACCGCGAUUGUUGUUGCAGCGGCGGCGGCGGUGGCGGCGGCGCCAUCCAAGGGGCCGCUGCUGCCGGCGGCGGCGGCUGGCCACGCCGUUCCUCACCCGUCGUACCGGCCUGAGAAAUAGGCCUCCUCCGUGAGGUAGGUGGCGUUGACGACACGUCCCGCGAAUCGCCGUCCGUGCAUGGCGUUGCGGGCCUUGACUGCGGAGUUGACGUCGUUGAACUCCAUUAUAACCUGCAGGCGGGUGGGACGGGAAUUCAUAGAACAAGUCCAGAGUAUAAGAGGACGAGGUCGAGGAGGGGUGGGUGGGUAAGGGAAUUGCAUAGCGGUGCAUGGCGCAACAUCUGCCAAAAACCUGUGUUGAAAACUGCUGCGAUCUAAGAAAGCGAUGGGCGGGGUGGGCGGGGUGUUAUUAAAGGCCCUAAGUGUGGCACGAGAGAAUGGAGCAGUGCAGCGGAGGCGACAGCGGCAGCACCAGCAGCAGUCGCAACAGCAUGAUGACUUGGGUUUGUGUUAACUUGGCAGCAGCAGCAGCAGUGGCAGGAUUCACAGCAAAGAUCAGAAAAUGGUGUGGUGGUACAAGAGGCAGGGGCGGAGGAUAUCUCAUCGUCCCCCCCCCAGAAAAACGCCUCCAUGCACGCCCACACCCACCCAACCACAAUCACCUUCCCCCCUCCGCAAUACUCACCUUGCACAUGCCCGGCGGGUUGGGGUUUUCCGCAGUUGGUCUCGGAAUGAGCACAUUGUUGCACAGCCCGUGGCGCGAGGCCUCGUCCUUCAUAUCCUGUGGUGGUGGAGAGAGAAGAGAGGAGCGGAGAGGGGCGGCGGUAUGUGACAUGCAUGCAAGAGGGCCCCCCCCAAGAGGAGGAACAACGAGGACAUGAGAAAAGCGGGAAGGAGUGGAUUGAGGUUGGGUCCAGGACCCAGGAGACAUGGCACAGGACCUGGACAAUGAGGGGUGCAGAACAAUCGGCGUACCAGCGUGCUUAGGCAGACAGACAAGGUGUGGAAGACCCAGCCCGUUCCCCGCUUCUUGGCGAACCCCACCCCCACCCCCACACUAGUACCGCCUUCAUCACGACUGCAACCAUCCAGCCCGGGACCACGCCUGGGAACAUGCGCCUGGGGAGAGGCACCCCUGCCCAUUGAGCCGAAUCUACGCUAGGGCUCGGCCACUUGAGCUAUUAUCCAGAAGUAGUUUCCAUACCCUUGAACCAUUAUGAGAAUUUUGAUAUGCUGUAAAUACAGCAAUGAUACUAAAGGUUUACCUACUAGCUUAUAUCUAGUAGAGGCGCAGUCCGUGACAGAGCUAACAUCAUAAAGGAUGCGGUUCAUGUUAGCAUGAACUGACUCGAAUGCCACUUCCGCAAUGGCAGCUCUCCCCCCCUUCCCUCCCUCCCUCCCUCCCCUCGCUCCCUCCCCUGGUCAGUAAAUUUUCCGAACAAUGCAGCAUUUAUCUUCUUCUGGACUACCCGUCUAUCUUUUGAAUCUCGGCUCCAUUCGACAGUGGUUCGUCUUACCCUCCCCCCUCCUCUCCCCCUGGGUCCCUUGCUUCGUUCCCUUCCCUUCCCUUCCCUUCCGUACCACACACUCUUUCCCUCCCUCCCUUCCCGUCCCUUCCAGGUCCCCGCCUCACCGCCAGGAUGUCCUCGUACUCGGUGUUGUCCACGAUCUCCUCCGCCGAAACCUGACCGGUCGACGACAGCAAACAGAGCCGCAGAGCAAUGAGUACUGAGCACGAGAACACGCCCACGUAAACUUCAGGAUGGGAACCACCCAUCACCACCACCACCAUCAUCAUCAGCAGCAGCAACUAGUUAAGGGGUCGAGGGGCGUGAGGCCUCCCGGCCCUCUUUGCCGGACAGACCGGGAGGUAUUGGAAAGGCUCAGAAGUUUGGCUUCCUUCCCCCCUCCCACCCUCUAUGAAUACCCCCACCCAUCCCCCGGCACGCUCAUACACACACACACACGCACGCACUCCCCCAUCCAUAUCACACACGACACGCCAAAACCACUAAAACCACACCCCGCCUCCCUCCCCUCCCCCUUCCUCCCACACCCAUACACACUCACCGCAUCCGUGAGCACGACGAUGCGAGUGGCCGAAGUGAGGGCGGGGUUGACUGCCACCAGCGGGUUGAGCCCCACACCUACCCCCACACCGACACCCAGGUUGGCCAGGGCGGCGGGCACCAGGCCCGGGGGCCCCAGGGCGGUGCUCGCGGCGGCACCGGCACCGGAAGCUGAGGGAGCGCCCUGAGGGGAGGUGGGUGGGGCACAUUGGGUUGGUUGACUUUUGGUUUUAAACUUGGGGAAUGGCAAGUUGGGUCGAGUGUUGAAGUAAAAGAUGAGCCGAUGGUUGAUUUGGGUUGGUUACACGCGAGCGAGCGAGCGAGCGAGCGGCGUGCGUGCGUGUGGAUGCCGUGUAAGACUCGCGUUUUUUGGACCCUAGCACCAGCAGUAUCGGCUUCUCCCAGCGCGCAGAGGUCCCAAAAUGCUGAAGCCCAGCCAACCCCCCCUCCCCCGCGAACAAAAAGCUCGUUCCCCGCACUCCCCAGAUAAACCCCCGUCCGCACCAGUGCCCCACCCACACGGCCCCAGCAACCCAUAGCGCCCCACCACUGCAGCUUCCGUUCCCUUCCCCUCCCUCUUUUUUUCCCAACCACAGGACAGGACCGCGACACUCCCCGUAACGGGGCCCCCCCUUCCUCUCUCUUCUGGCCCCCCAGCCCAGCAGCCUCCGAACACGUACCUCCGUAGCCCGCCGCACUGUGAGAGUCCGGUCGCCCAUUCGGAGACCGUUAAGACCCGCGCAUGCGAUGUCGGUGACGGCAGAGUCCUGAUACACAACGAAGCCGUACCUGGCGGGAACAGCGUCGUGUGUAGGGUUUAAAGGGUAGCGGGGGGGGGGCCCGACGGGAGGCGGUGAAAAAGCGUUAUGUGCAAGUCUUAUGUCAACUGCCGAUGUCCGGGGCGGGGAAAGACGAACCACACACGAGUGAAGCUGCUGCCAGGGCAAGAGUGUACCAAACGUAGGCGGGGAGAGGGGCCCAGCGGGGCCCAGGCGGUGGGUAAGGUAAGAUGUGAACGGCGGAAAACACACGGGAAUAUAUGAAUUGCAGUACAACACAUGCGUUCCGUGCCGUACCGUGCCAUAACUCCGAAGAUGUAGGGGCAACCCCUCAAUUUUCACCCACCCACCCACCCACCCACCCACAUACAUACAUACACAAUAUUAUGCCCGCCCAAUCCUCACCCCUUGCUGUUCCCCGUUUCCCUGUCUUUGACCAGGUCAAACGACUUGAUGGGGCCGAAGGAUCCCAACAGCUCACGACACUGCUCCUCCGUCAGGUAGUACGGCAAGCCGCCCACGAAGAUGCGAUCCGCCUGGUCGGCUGAGCUCGACUGCGGUGAGGUGGGGAGGUGAAGGGAGGAGCUGAAACAGGGGGGGGGGCCGAAACGGAUGGUGCGGGGGGGGGUCCGAAGUGGGACUUACGCCCCCCUGGGUGAGGUCCAGGCACUUGUCAGGUCGGAUUUCAUUCCUUCAUUCCUUCAGAACGUCUUUAACAAUAAACCACCGACCGCCAACUGGAGAUGUCUUACGUCAGUCAAGAGACCUGGAAAACGGCUCUUAACAGAAAAAAACCCGAACAAAGCGCAAAUUCGCCGUAACCACCGCCCUACCUUGCUGCCACCUCCCCCACCGCCUCCGCCUGCUGCAUUGGAUAGUCCGAUAGCAGCCAGGUUGAGGUUGGGGUUGGGGGUGGAGGGCCCCAGGGAGGCAGCUGCGGCGGGGUUGUAGUCGUUGGGCCGCCGCACACGCACCGACACGCCCUCGAACAUGAUGCCGUCCAGGGCCAUGGCAUUGGAAGUCUCCUCGACUGCACCGAAGAGAAGAGGGCGGUGGGGAAAGACGAUCCCGAACGAGGGCGUUGGGGCCGGUUAGAGCGGUUGGGUGCGGUUAGAGUGGUGGGAGGCGGGUAGCUGUCAUAGGAGGCGAGGGGGUUCUCAAAAUUAAACACACAAGGGGGGUUGUGAGGAGAAGGAAAAAUAGAGGGGGAAAGUACAGGUCCCCGAUAAAAGGCAGGGGAUGAAUUAGAGUGCAAAAUGCAGAAGUACUGAACUCUCGAAGUAUUGAAGAACGGAUCGAUUGAGGCGAAGUAAUGGAUGUGGAGUGAAAGGGAAAGCUAUUGAACAGGGAGCGAUAUCAGGGAACGGAGUUAAGGCAUAAAAAAGACUCCAACAUAACAACUGCAACUGCAGAGGCCUCCGCGAGAGCAAAGUAAAGCGGCCACCCAAGAUGAUCCCAAGGUGGUCGGUCGUAGAUCGAAGACGGAGAAGGCGACCUGCGACCCCUGCCUCUCCACACCCAACCCCCUCCCCUCUGCCCCCCCCCACACCCUCUCCCUCCCCCCUCCCGCCCACCCCGCUCCACCCUUCNNNNNNNNNNNNNNNNNNNNNNNNNNNNNNNNNNNNNNNNNNNNNNNNNNNNNNNNNNNNNNNNNNNNNNNNNNNNNNNNNNNNNNNNNNNNNNNNNNNNNNNNNNNNNNNNNNNNNNNNNNNNNNNNNNNNNNNNNNNNNNNNNNNNNNNNNNNNNNNNNNNNNNNNNNNNNNNNNCGGUGCUCUCUUGAUCGUUUAUUACUCGCGUUACUUGCGUUACUUCUUCUUGGUACGGCCCCCCCCCCCUACCCCCCCCGCCCCAAAUCACCGCAACGCGCGGGUCUUCACCAGGUACUCGCACAAGCCUUCAAAGCGCCUUCUCCACUGGGAGACCUCUUUUCCGACCCAGGCCCCCUUCCAGUCCUGGCGACCCCACCCCUUCCACCCUCCACCUCCACCUCACAGCCAAAGCUCCUCCGGCGGUUCAACGGUCCCGUCUAGGUGGUGGUAUUGGUGUUGGUGUUGAUGGUGGCGGUGGUAGUGGCUAGCAGAGCACGGCAUCACAACUAGCACCAACCAACCAUCCAUCCAUCCACCAGUUGCCGACACUAUAUAGUAGUCCCCUCUUCUCCCUCCCUCCCUGCCUGCCUGCCGGCCUCUAUCCCCCGUUUUCUGGCCAUGCCAACCAGACCUCCUUCCUGCCAUUCUCCCCACGCAUUCAUCCUAUUUCACUGCGUCCCUCCUUUACCGUCCCUACUGCCCCCCUUCACCUUCACCUUCAUCCGUCCUCCACAUGCCCUCACUCACCGCUUUUUUCCUCGCUUCCCUCUUCUUAAGACCAUAAGACCCUUCUCCUAUCUGCUGCAUACCACCCACUCAUCCGGAUGCCCUCUACCCACCCUGGAGCCCUACAUGCCGCACCGUCCACCGGCCCCACUCCCUCAGACCCCAUAUCCCUCCAGAGUCCUUUUCCCUCUGUCCUUUCCCUCUUUCCCGCGUUCCCCUCCUCUCUCUCCUCCCUGACGCUAAGCAUUUUCCAUAUGAAUUAACAACUGCCUGUUCCCGGCCUCUAUUUCCUCGCCUGCCCACGACCCCCCCCCUCCGCCAUGCCUUGCCACUGACCUUUUUCCUCUGUUGUCCCCCAUCCCCCUUGACCCACCUGGCCCUGCCGUGUUGCCGCCGAUGGCCGCCAGUGCAUGGCUAAAGAAGGAGCUAAUGGACUGCUCCGUGGCAGUGGGGGGCAGUCCGCCCACGUAGAUGCGCCGGGCGUGGCGGGUGGCCUGCUGACUCACAGCGGGUGGACCCGCAGCGGCACCAAAACCACCGCCUCCACCUCCGCCACCACCACCACCGCCUCCGCCGCCGCCACCACCGAAACCUCCACCACCACCGAAGCCUCCGCCACCGCCACCACCACCGCCACCACCACCACCCAGGCCGCCUGCGCGGAGUGGGUAGAGAAAUUAAUUGGAGGUAAUAAAGUAGCAAAAUAGGGCCGUCAUGUGGUCAUCCUCACCCGUUCCUGCCCAUUACCCAGACCACAAAGGCACAUUCACUUGCGUGAAGAGGACAGAUGGGACGUUUUAUUCAUGGUGGUUGCUCGUGCUCCAGACGGGGACAGCGGGACAGUGGCAACGGAACGAGGCGACAAGAUGGGAGGGAGGGACUAGGACAUAGCUGCGGUCGGAGGAUGGCUAAAAGAUGCGCAGAUGGUCCAGAAAGAAGCAGAGUUGCGUUUCUCCAGUGGGACCAAGCCCCUGGCGGCCGAACUGACGGCCAAGAUGGAAUGCAAAGAGAGCGCUUUCCACGAGCCGCGAGACGACCCAGAUCGCGCCAAGCCACCCAAAUCACGUCACCGCGAAGGUAACCCAGAUCGCGCAAACCCGGAUCGUCGGAUGCAAACUUAAAAACCGCAUUAUGGCGUGGAAAAAAGCACACAAGAAGGGGCUAGAAUACGUACGUGGUUUGGUGUGGGGGGAAAGAGCUGGGUCUGGAGGGGAGCGUCAGCUGGAGAGGACUGGGCAGGGAAGGGAAGGGCGAUAGGAGGAUGGGGAGGGGAGAGUGGGGGAAGGCUUACCAUGGGAACCAACUCCCACCAUAAGGGGGGCUAAAGAGGGGGGCGGCGCUGCGAAGGCCGCUGCCGCUGCAAGGUUGGGCUGGGCUCCAGGCAAAACUGCCGGGGGAGGUGGUGCGCCGGGGGCCAUGCCUGGGGGAAGCACGUCAAAGAGUGUGGGCCUCCGGCGACCCUGCUUGACUGGGGGAGAGCCCGAGCGGCUUCGGGACCGGCGCCGGUCGCGGCUGCGAUCACGGCGGCGGUCCCUCUCGCGGUCUCCACGUUCACGCUCGCGAUCAUAUUCCCGGUCCCUGCGGCAUUUAAAGGUGGCGCACAAGUUGAAACUAACGACCUGGAUCACCACGGCGUAUUAAUGUAAAGCAGGAGCUGUAAUUUCUUGCCUGUCCCUUCUGUCUCUGCCGGGUCCUGGAUGUCCUGUAUAAUCUUCCUGUUUGUGCGGAUGCAGCGGGCAGGUUGUGAGUUGCUGUUUUCAACAUUGUGGCGGCAAGGUCGGGCUUUCUGUUAAGGAACUUACCCUCAGCGGCGGAUAACCAUAUCCUUGCUCCGGCUCAGGCCUGUAGUUAUUGCGGUUAUCCCGGUGGUCUCUCAUGGCGUUCACUUGAAGUCAAGUCUUUGGCGCGUCUUCAACGGCGCAUUUCCUAAUUCACGCCGUUACACCUUACAAAUCAAAUUGCCGCAAGCAACCACCUUUCUUCGUUUGACGGGAGUGCUUGCCAAACAGAAGCCGUCACCUGUCCGUACGUUCGGACGAGAACUGCGGGCCCGUUACGUUUGGAGAGGCAGGAAUAAUUAGAAUCUGCUGAUAUUUUACCGUCUAUAGAUUUUCGCAGGCGAAUAGUGCAUACUUAUUGAAAAAGAAAUUGCCUUUCUCAACCUCAAGAUUGCCACGUUGCACGCGACGUUAGUAUCUACCCACCCGUUUACGCAGAGCCGGAGCGUAACUGUGUAGUUACAUGCAUCAGCUGUCCUUGAUGCGACUUCAGGCGAGCGGGAUGGGUAGCUGGACUCCUCACCACUCGUCGAGGUGUGUGGUCCGCGACGGCAUCUCUUCCACAACACCCCAGGCAUCGGUUCUCGCGUUUACAUGGCCUCUCUCCCGCAGUAGCCUACAACUGAAUAUCUGCCAUUAUUUGUUUCCAACCUCAUAGUAGCUGCUACGUACUCCUGUCUAGGCACGGGCGGUGAUCGACAGCUGCAUAACGGGAAGACUGGGGUUACGCCGUGCGCGUUCUGUUGAAGGGUGUAGCUUGCUUGUAGCAAGAAAAGAAAUACUCAUACUUAACGUCCCGCACAUGCGAGAAUGCUCCUUGCCAUUUCCACCCGAAAAGCUUUGUCCAAUGAACAUCCCAUCCCCUGUGGCGUUAGCGACCAACAUUCCUCGUGUACUCACCCACCCCUUAUCUUUCACUUUGACUUGGUUUGACCCUCUGCAUUCGAACCCUUUGACAUCCUGCUUCAGACGCCUGCUUCAACACGCGACUUGCACCCCCUUCUGCGCUUCUUCGAUCCGGCACGCCGCCAACUCAACGGCUGCAGCUGCAGCAGUCACAUCACCUAUCGACUCCGCCACAGCAGCUCUGUCGCCAUCUGCAGCAACGGCUCCGUCGUACGAGGGCCGUCCCGGCCGCGCGACGGUCAUCGCCGCCGCCGCCGCCGCCACACAGCUCACCUCCGACACCCCCAGCCCAUCCCCCUCCUCAUCUCCCGCCUCUUCGACGGAUUUUGAUUUCGUCUGCCCCAUAUGCCUUCAGACACAUUUCAGCUUGAGCUCCAUGCCGACCCAGUGAGUACGACACUCAUCUGCUCUUUGUACAUCCGUCGUACUUGAUAUUGCGCCAAAACUUUCUUUCUACUUCAUACCGUAUUUCCGGUGUACGUCAUACUCUGCCGUACUCGAGAGGGAAGGAUGGGUUAUCUUCAUGACGCAUCUUUUGACCGAAAUUUUUAGAAAAAACUUUAUCAAAAAGGAUAAUUGAUGGCCGUGAUGGUUUGGUGCAACUGUGAUAAUUAGGAGACAUGGGGGUGAGGGUCGUUUGUGCUUUCAAAAUCUGGUGUUUGAGGGAUAGGGGGAUGAGGGGGGCAGUCCGAACGACUGAAGUGUAUUUGCAAUCCAACAGACAAAGAAGAGAUGCAACGAAGAUCCUCUGGAUAGGUUGGCGGGGGCUUGGUAGCUUGAUGGUGGUUUAUGUUGUUACAGGGUGGUAUAUAACUUCACCAGCGGCCCUCUUUCCCUUGGAGGCAGUUCCCUGCUCUCCCCUGUGCGAGAGGGGCACCCUAAUCCGUUCACCCCAUCCGACUUCAGAAUGUAUUCGUUGGGUUCGGCAACUCACCACCAGCAUCCAAUCAAAUCUAGCGGAUUAACGGCGCCUGAACUUAGUUCCUGGUCAGCUCGCAAGUUGAUGUUAUCAUGUCGUACACCGUCCAUAAGAUGGGGGGCCACCUCCCAUUUCAACACCUCUCUGUAUGUAUGUAUGUAUGUGUAUGUAUGUAUGUGCGUGUGUGUGGGGGGGCCAGGAGAAACAGCAGCUAUGGUAGCUACGGCGUCGUAUAGAUGUACGGCACGGAAAUAACGUAAUUAAAGCCAUUUCUGCUUAAAAAGACAUUAAUUCUCGAGUGCACGGAACACCAACCCUGUACAGCUGAAGGGAGUAUGAUACCUUUUUGCAUUAUGUAUAAAACCCCGUUAGGGGUUGACCUUCUCUGCCCAUCCUUCACUUCGUCCCAACCGCCACCAACCGUCACCAACUUUCCCAACCGCCAUUACAACGAACAGGUCUGGCGGGCUUUCCUGCGUUCGCUGUCAGCGCACGUUCCCCUCCUCCCCGGCCUAUCUGGAUCUCACACUCACCAGCGGUGUACGGCAGAGGGUAUAUAAACAGCGUUCCUGGGGGGGUACGGAGCUGUUCAGGUGGGUACGGAUGAAAUGUGUGGGGAGGUGGGGAGUGUAUGCGUGAACAUGCUUGUUACAUAUCGAUUCGGGCCUGACACUGGCCAGGAGGGCACCUAACCGUGCCGUACCCCAACGGGAACGACUGUGCUGAAGAAUUCCGUUAUUGGAGGGGUGUAUGUGUAUUUGGGGGGUUUUGGGGGGUUUGAAGGGGGGGGGGCUGUGAGUAGGACAAUUUUGUUUUGUUCGGGAAGGAGGCGGGAAAGGAGGCGGCGAGUGGGUUCGUAGCAACUGGAUCCAGCUUGGAUCCAGAUGGAAAGUGACGGCCUGUGACGGUUUGACCGUUGUUGGUUGUUCUUCUUGUUGACUGAUGUCGUUGGUUCUUGUUGGUCGUUGUCGGUUGCUUCAGGAACCCUCUGGUGAGCUUUGCGUACGAGCGAGGCUGGCGGCAGGGCUUUGCAUGGGCGGGCUUCCCCGGCGCUGACAAGGAGUACGACAUCGCCAUGUCGUACUUGCUGCCUGCCGCCGCGGGCAAGGUGCUGGUGGACAUGUCGUGCGGCAGCGGGCUCUUCUCCCGCCGGUGGGUGGUUGGUGGUUGGUGGUUGGUGGGGGGAAUGUUGUUGGUUGGGGGGAUGUAGGGGGCUUCCAAGGUUCGGGUACGAUGUACGAAUGGUAAAAAAAACACAGGGGUAGAAUUGACAUGUCCUUUGAAGCUCCGCCCCUUCUACCCUUGAGAUCACUGUUCUUAAGUCAUGUUAUUGGUCAGUAAGUAAUUAUCUCCCUGAUGAUGAUGCAGUAUGUGUCGAUUAAUCCUGGACUAUAUCCGUCUAUCUUUCCGGGGUAUCUGCUUCGAUCGUCAGUGGUUCGUCUUAUUUCCCCCCCCCCCAUACACACACACACACCAGCCGGGCGUGGGGGAACCGUUACUCGUCACAUUUUAAAUCCCGGAGGGGUGGGGGUGGUGGGGUGGUGGGGGGGUGGGGGGAAAGAGGUCUCUCCGAGCCUCAAUUCACCUCCCACCAAACCCCUUGUUUUUUUGUUACGUUAAGAAAGUCUCUUCUUUUAAUUCCUUUUUAUCGUACCCGACCUUUCUGUGUACCCCACAAAUUGUACCCCCAUUGCCCCGUUGCUUGCCAACCGAAACAAAAACCUGAUUUCCCCUUCCCUCCCCUCCCUUCUGUUCUGUUCUGUUCACCGUCUCGUUAUUUUUUCCUUCUCAUCCCCCUUCCGCUCCUGCUCUGUACGGCAGUUGGUGGGUUUGCUUAGGGUUAAGGACGUCGGCAGCUGACUCUUAAGCUUUUUGCAUCAUAUGGGAUUUCCCUCUCCCUUCCCUCCUCCUCCCGCGUUCGUGGUUCGUCUUUCCCUCCCUCUCCCUCCCCUCCCCUCCCUCUUCACUCGUUCGUGGCGGGUCUUCCCUCCGCCCCUCCCCGCCCCUCUACGCCCUAUUCCCCUCCAUUGCAUGUACAGGUUCGCUCGCAGUGGCGCGUUCUCCGGUGUUGUGGCGGCUGACUUCAGCGAGAGCAUGUUGCAGCAGACCCGCGAGUAUUGCAUGGCUGAGGGGGGAACGCUGAAUGGAAGGUGAGGGGGGAGGGGGAGGGGGAGGGGGAGCUGUGCGUGUGUAUGUAUGUAUGUAGGUAGGUAGGCGAUUUUUUUAGUUGUUUUGUACGUUGGGACUCAACGUUUCUGUGUCUGAGCAACUGAUUUUCCUUUUACAGUUUGCUGCGUCAUGUGAUUUCCGUACAGACAUGCACAGUCUCACCCCCCCCCCCCAUACACACAUACAUCACCUCACGUUGUACUGCAGCUCCCCUUACCCCUAUUGUCUCUUCUCCUGGACUAUACCCGUCUAUCUCUCCCGGGUAUCUGCUUCGAUCGUCAGUGGUUCGUUCCACCCCACACCCCCGACCCCGUCGUAACCCCCCUCACCCCUUCCCCCCUCAGUACCCCCAUCAUGCUACUGCGAGCUGACGUGGGUCGACUGCCCUUCGCCACGGGGAGUGUGGCUGCCGUACAUGCAGGGGCGGCCAUCCACUGCUGGCCUAACCCGCAGGUGCGUGUCCGCCGUAUGGCCGUGUGGCCGUGUAUGUGUGUGUAGAUAUGUAUGUAUGUAUGUAUGUGUGUCGAUAUGUAUGUAUGUGUGUUUGUCGAUAUGUAUGUAUGUGUGUGUCGAUAUGUAUGUAUGUAUGUGUGUCGAUAUGUAUGUAUGUGUGUGUCGAUAUGUAUGUAUGUGUGUGUGUCGAUAUGUAUGUAUGUGUGUGUCGAUAUGUAUGUAUGUGUGUGUCGAUAUGUAUGUAUGUGUGUGUGUCGAUAUGUAUGUAUGUGUGUCACUAUGCUCUGAGUCUGAGUUUCCUAGCAGCAUAAGGUGUAUCGCCGAUACGUUUACCCCCCCCCCACACACACACACAACGAAUGUACGAUAUUAUUACGACGUCACGAGUGUUCGAAACUUGUAAUCAUCACGACUGUUGUAAGUACGGAAGUACGGCAUCAUCUGACCCGCACCUGCACAGGUGGCCCUGGCGGAGAUUAGUCGUGUCCUGGCUCCAGGGGGUGUGUUCGUGGCGUCAACGUUCCUCACCGCCACCGCCCCGCUGGGCCAGGUGCUGGGGGAUGAUGCCGUACGACCACUGAGCCAGGUGAGCUUACAAUGGCAUGUAUGUAUGUGUGUGUGUGUGUGUUUUGCGCGCCCGGACGAUAUAUUUUAUUUAUAUAUAUGUAUAAUAAACUAUAUAUAAAAUAGAAUAAUUUGUGACUUUUGUUGGUGUUAAACCAACCAUUUCGGUCGCCACCUUCGCGAUCCCUGCAGUGCAUGUGCGCAGCCGGGCCGAGCCUUCGCUUUCGCCUUUCGCCUUACGCCCCCCCUCCCCCUUCGCGCACACAUACAAAGUGUUGUUUGCGUCGCCCGUGUUGAGAAAACAGCAACAAGAAGAGGAAAGAAGAAGAAGAAAUUAAAAUAAAAGAAAAAGAAGAAAUUGUACGGAAAAGAAGUUAAAAAAAGAAGUUGUGCAGAAGAAGAAGAAGAAGAAGAAGAAGGGCAGCCCGAGGAGGCCAGUCCCUGCGUCAGCCCUAUAUCUUCUCCUUCUUCUUCUUCUUUACCCCAACCCCCCCUACCCCUCUAUCCUCUAAGGAUGUGUGUGUGUGUGUGUUGCAUGGUUGAGGGUGCGUGACACCAUACUUGUAAAAUAAAACUACCCAUACGAGCCGAAGGCCCAAGGGAUAUACCAUAAAAUCUUUUGUUUGUUUUAUUAUUUUUGCUAUAUAUAAAACCCUAAGUGCUUGUUCUCCACAAAAGUAUAUAGCCCGCCCACCCCCGGGGGGGUCUUGUCUUCCUCACUCCUGUAACGUCACACAGCGUACACUGGUGUCGAUAUACACUGGUCGCCUUCUUAAUUAGAAACAUUAGCCAACAGCCGCACAAACCUCCGGUACCAACUACCAACUACCUAGGCUUUUACCAAGAUCUCCAGCUACAACUAACCACCAGACAACAUCAACAUCGUCAAAUAUAUCAACUUCCAACGAACCAAACCAACCGACAAAAGCACCCAAACCAACGAACCCCGUCACCACCUCUACUGACACCACGAGCGGCCAACCCAAUUCCGGCCAACCACCACAACCGCCACAUCAACUGCCACAACCGCGCCACCCAACCACCUCCAGCUCGACCCAACCACCGCGGGCGGCAUUGUGGGUACGCCGUACCGCUGGUGGGAGGAGCAGGAGCUCCUGGACCUGUGUACGGCAGUAGGGCUGCAGGACUGGAGGAGGGAGCGGACCUGGAGGUUCAUCAUGUUCGCCGUCACGAAACCGAAUUCUGCCUCUUGAGCUUCCCGCCUUCCCCGCCUCCUUCCCCGCGUCCCCCGCCUCCCCCGCCUCCCCCCGCGCCUGCUGCCUUAGCCGUAACCCUCUCUCAUUCUUCAUCUUGCCCUUCUGGUGCUUUCCUCUUCGCCUUUUCCUGGAUCUGGCUUUGGAUUUGGAUUCAGAUUUGGACUGGCAGCUACACGUUUUCCGAACUAGGGAAAUGGAAACUCCGUUUCCACUGGGGUUUGAACUGGCAGCUGUACGACGUCCGAAUCCAAGAGCGCAGAGUAGCUACUAGCGGGCAUUCUAGCACGUGCAUCUUUUGCCCGUACGGCAUUUGACAACCUGCUGGAAAGAAACCUGGUUGGAUGGAAGCCUUAAUUUAGAGGUGUACAUGAGUGUUAUGCUUGCAGCAAGCAGAAUACGCGCGUCUGAUCUUAAAAGUACGUGUAGGAGUGUGCAUAUUUGUAUGUAUGUAUGUAUGUAUGUAUUUAGUGGGAAUUGGAGCCACGACGAUGUCGGGUAGGUGGGUGGAGGUGUUUUGCGCAUAUCGGAAAACCGGCACUUAGAGCGAGGGUUGGUAGGCUUCUCACAAAAAGGAAUUUUAAAAACGAGUUUGUGUGUAAGUGUGUGUGUAUAUUGGAUACAGCGGUACACAUUUAUAAAUAACUGAGCGCCUGCACACAGAGAGAGAGAGAGAGAGAAAGAGAGAGGGAAGUGGGGGAAGAUUGAGGGGGGAACGUGUGUGGUUUCAUGAGUGAUUAUGUGUGUGUUUUCUUCCUGUCUGUGUAUGUAUGUAUGUAUGUAUGUAUGUAUCAGCGUUAUUUUUUUGCGGAAUAUAUUCCGAAUUCUGAAUUAAAAAAUGUUCGUGGUCCUGAAAGUUAAGAAUAAAUAAUGUUCCAACCGUACAAGUUCAUUCCUCCAGCCAAAAAUGGACUGUCUAUGCCAAACCCGCUAGAAUCUUACAGGAGACAUACAUGUUACCCAUAUCAUAGUACUUUAAUGCCAUGGAUACUGUUUGGAAGGUCACGCCCGAAAGUCAACGAGGAAUAGGACUGUUUCUGACCGGACCAAACGCUGCAAAACAUUCGGACCCGAAGCUCCCAAAGCAUUGAAGGCCAUUAAAGCAGAUACUAAAUUUCACUGAAGCCAUUAGCGACGUUAAUGAAGACGGUGUAGGGGUCGUAGGCAAUGUGGACGCAAUGCUGCAGCCAGCCGACGACAAUGACGCCACUCCGGUUGUCAACAGCGAGCGGGCCAAACAUCAAUGUUCCUCAUAUGGAUACAAUCGCGAUGGGCCAGGAAACAGGUUGCGUUUGGUGGUUCCGGUUCAUUGCUGCUAUGCAUCAUUACUUCUGCAACCUGGAAAGUCGUGUAGUGUUAUCUUUCAACGUGAUGCAAGACGAACGAUGGUGAACGAACUCUAUUCGAUCAGUGCUUGAGAGAUUGGUGUGCGCGUGUUGCGACAUUCCCCAAACCCGGCGUUUGCACGAACUAAAUGUAACUCAUCGGGGGGGGUCGGGGGAGGGCGGAGCCCCCUCCAGCGCCUUACAGAUUCGGAAUACCUUUAUUCCCGCGACUAAAAACCUAUUCCUCCGUUCGGACUGGAAAAAUAACCGGCAGAAAUGAAAAAAAACUGGUAUGUAUGUAAAUGUAUGUAUGUAUGUGUGUGUGACGGAUCUAAUAGGGCCCCAAGAAGGUAGAGGGAAAUAGAGGCGGCCGCCGAGCCCCCGGGGCUGCACCUUGCCGUGUAGAUGAUGGGGACCAGCUGGCGCAGCUAAACACCCCAUUGGCGACGAGGGCCCUUCACUUCACCAAAGGGACUCCGCAACUCCCAGCAGCGCCGCGUUGCACGGUUGAGCGAUGGAGGGCACCUGUUUCAGCGGACGCGAGCGGACCAUGGACAUGAAGAACUCGUUACCGGCGAAAGGGCAAAACCGCAAAAAAAAGAGAUUAAGAUCUCUGGGUCAGUCGGUCGGUAGGGGCUCUCGCAUGCGUGUUUUUUUUUGUGUGUGUGUGUGUGGGUGGAUGUUGUGCCGAUCUGUAUGCGUGUACGUGCUUGCGAUUGUGUAGAGGUCGUGGAAUGUACUGUACUUCCGUUUCUAGGGGACGAGUCCGUACGGAGUAGGAUAGAUCAAUACAUUGUAUGGCAUGAAAUUUGAAAAAGAAAAAACUGUGCGCAUUUGCAGUUUAAGAUGAAAAAAGGGUCUUAGGGGGUUUCAGCUUUCUGCGCACGGGAGUGCACUCGACGAAAUCGCGUCCCGCCUGGUGUAUGGAGACUCGCUCCGCUCCAACAACUCGGAGCGCAAUUGCGCUUUUUCUUCCCAGAAGACCGGUACCGCUGUUAGUGCGUAUGGAUGCCGUACAACGUACGGCUUGAUGGUGUACCGCGUCAGCUGUAUUCUAAGGCCUUGCGAGCUCAUCGGAUCCGGAUCUGAUCUGGUGUGCUGUAUAUCUGUAGAAUUUUUUAUAUGAACGCUGAAAUGCUGGUUAGUGCUGAGCUCCAGCCGUGAGCCACUCAGCGCCGAGCCUAGCUAGGACUAGGGAGUCAAACAGCGGAUAUGGAUGGACAGCGACACACAUUGCCUUCGUCAUCUGUAUUACACGGGCUUCUACAUUAUGAACGACAUCUGUCUUCAUAAAAACAAGAUUAAAUAAGAUUUACAAGAUAAUUGAGAGAAAGAGAGAAAGAGAAAGAGAGAAGGAAAAAGAUCUUGAUACAGCGCGAGACGCGACGCGAGGCGCUCUUUGCAUGACUGACUGCGACCUGCCGCCUUCGUAAAAUUAGAAAACGUAUUUCGCGGUGAAAAGGCCAUGCAAGUUAACCAAGAGAUGGCGCAUCACACACACACAUAUAAUGCACGCGAAAAAGCCGACAACAGAAAGGACAGAGGGGUCUUUUCAUAGCAAUCACUAAGCCAGCAGCAGCCCAACCUUUCCUCCACAACCACCAACCAUCCACCCCGUGUGACCGCAUUCCGGGGAAGAAGAUUUUCAUAUCAUCAUCAUCAUCAUCAUCAUCAUCAUCGUCUUCUAUGGGGCAUAUAAGCAGAACGUCCACGUCACUCGUCGUGAACAAGUGAGAGCCAAAGCAUGCGGGUGAUGAAGCCACUAACCAACCAAAACCACCCAACCACCAACCGGCAGGCUUCCCUGUUCGGUGCUCUCCUCCUCCUUUUACAUAUACGACAUAUGCCGAAGCUAAAGUGAGAGAGUACGUCCAAUAUUAAGCUGCGGAGAUCCCCCGAGCGACACUUCAUCAAUGUCAGCUGCGGGCGUUAAGACUCUCCUCGAAGCACAAUGCGUCACAAAGAGAAACUUAAGGCCCAAACUUAAGGCAGCAAUUCGUUUCCCAGGCACCCGUUAGGCACUUCAUUCCGGCCCACCAGGUUCUUUUCAAAGGCGAGAGAAGAUGUUGGGCUGUGCGAGUGGGCAACGGCCAACAGACAACGGACGAGAGCGUGGUGUCACCGUCACCGUUAAGCGUAACCGCAACCUAACAACCUCCAGCCACUAAUUACGAACCGUUUCCACAGCGAGAGAAGUCGAGAGGUGCGAUCCUGCCGUUUCUCGGCGGGCGAUUACGUGUGCCGUACACAUCUAUGAAGACACAGAAGACCAUACCCGCCAUACCAUACCAUACACAGCAGUCACACAGCGCCACGGCAAGUAUGGAGACACAUACAUACGUACAUACACACAUAAAGACAGACGCAACACAUGCACUGACGCGAGGUGGUUAACACUAACUAACACUUAACCAACCCAGAGGAUGACGCGUUGCCUGUUUGUCUUGCAUUGCACAUUCAAGUAUGUUAGCAUGUGUGCCAGUAUGUAUGCGCGUGUGCCAUACAUACGUACGUUCAUACAUAUAACAUUCAACAUUCAAAACGCUGUUACUCGGGCCAAAUGAGCGCGACACGCGUAACACCCAAACGAACCAAACCAACUGGCCAGAAGAAAGAACACCACAACAUGAAAACAACGCGCCCAACCACACAUACAGUAAACACACGCGCGCACACACACACACAUAGUUUCCCCUCCUCUCCUCCCAUCCUUACCCCUCCCAUCCAUAUCCCCUCCCCCUACCAUUCCCUGCUCUGACCGGAAGGUAGGAGGCCUCCCCACCCCCCCGGCGGGCCAAACACCCCCACCCCCGGCACUCUUCCGUCUCCGUCCCCGCAGCACACCACAACAUUCAAUUCAUGGAGAAAGAGAAAAGAGAGAGAAAAAAAGGAAAAUCCGUUCUAAAAGAAAAGAUACAUGAUUAGGACGCACUUUCGAAGUUUUUCUGGCAAGUCUCGACGAAGCGGCUCGCUCUCCUGAGCAGGGGGGAGGGGGCCUUCACGAGGGGGCAAAGGGAGCUGCCAAAACAGGAAACGGCAGCCAAAACAGGAAACGCGUCUCGCCCGCGUUUCCGAUGUCCCGGUGUGCUUGAAACACAGGAGGAGCACCCCACCCCACCCAGCCCAGCCUCCCCUGGAGGGCCAGCAGCAGGGGGCACAAAAAGGGAGCUCCACAGCACCCCUCACUUGCAGCAUCUACGCUGCGUUACGUAGGAUUAGGACGUCAAGCGGAAGAACACCCGCGCCAGCCGGGCCAACAGCCACAAACGCCAAACAAGGCGUGUAAUAAUAAGCGCCGCAUGCAUGUGGUACGGCACGGUACGAGAAACUCUUCCCCUUCCUUGUGUAUUGCAUACAACAAACAUCCGGACGGACAGGUAGGCACAAGUGCGAGUUUAGGGACUACAGAUAUACAUGCAGACGGACAGUCAAGGCGUGUACUUGGCGGCAGAGAGCUAUUCAGGCAGCUGUCAAACAGCGUACUCAGCAGACGAACAAAGAGACGAAAGAAGCCGCCAGGAAGGCCGCCAUGAAGAGAGAAAGCGCAUAUAUAUUUAUAUAUGUACACGAACACCAAUCCAUACCAACACCCAGGCCCUCCUUCAUUUCCCUUUUCCCCAAACCCCCCAAAAGAGACGCGCAACCACAGGCCCCCCCUCCACACACGCGCGCGCGCGUGCGCAAAACCCCAGCCAGCAAGCAGCAAAGAACAGACGCGCAGUCUGCACCAGGUUAACUAAGGCAAGCCAUAUGACCCCCACCACCAAGCCGCGGUGCCUUUGUAUUGCUAUAAUCCUGCAAAUCCCCUCCAUUGCCGCCUCCAUACGACAACCGCCACAACGGUUUCUCGUCCCGUCAGAUGAGCGAAUAGACCACCUGCGCAGGGACCCCGGGGGGGGGCAUUGCAUGAUCACCGCCAUCAUGUAGGAGCGCCGGUCUGUUGACAUCUGGCACGACUUAAUGGUUCGUUUGCUUGGCUGCUAUCAUCAUCGUCGUCGUCGUCAUCAACAUCAUCGUCGUCGUCAUCACCACCCAUCAAGACAUCCUAACUUUCCACACGAGAGCAAAAAGCAAGGGAGCGAGCAAGGCGCGCACACACACACACACACACACCACAUCACCUUCCUUUUUAACGACCAACCCUUCAACAGAAGAGUGCUGCAGUAGGCGGCGACGCGAGCGGCACGGUACGGCACACGCGGACGCCGUACCGCACCGGCACCGCCCGCCGCGGCCCCCCUCCCCCUCCCACCCCACCUAGCUUGGCGGGGUUAUAUUUCCUCCUCCGCUCAAUCCCAAUCUGAAUCUCAUCGUACAGCGCUCAACGUAAAAGUCCUGCACCAACACCUAUGGCGAGUCGCAUCGACGCUUCUUGGCGGUUAAGAGAUCGACAUCUCCGAAAAAACGGCAUCUCCAAUGUUGGGAAUCCCUCAACUUCCGGAGCCCUUCCUUAUUGCUGUCCUGCUUUUGCACUGUCCGGAAUGUCGCAACCCCCUCCGCAAACCCUUUCCCUUCUCUCCCACCCGUGCGCUAAAACACACGUACAGUAAGCACGCUACGGAAACCAGACGCGAUGAGUGCGCACAUACAUACGUACAUACAUACAUCAUACAUACAUGCACAGCAGCAGCAUCGAACGUCCGUCUGUCCAUCGGCGCACAUGUUCGUCUGUCUGUCUGUCUGUCAGUACACCCAUCCGGCUGAAUGCACAUACCGAGGGAAGCGAGAAAGGGAGAGAUACAUAGAGAGAAAGAAAGAUAAGAGCCACGCAAUCUCAUCAAGUCCUGUGUUUUGGGCUGCCGUACGAUUAUGGAUGGAUGCACAAAGCGUCGCUCUGCCUCCAUAGAUAAUAAUUAGUUUUAUGUAAACAACAAUCGAUUUUGAUGCCAACUUUUGAUGUAGGCUCCCUCCUCCUGGUAGCUUUAACGCAACGCCAGACCUUGGAAAGGUUUCGCCCGACCAGAAGACAUGACGGCGGCGAGAAUCAGGUUCAGACGAAAAUCUACGAAUGCGGCUGUCAUCAUCUGCAAUUCGGACAACGCGCGCGGCUGCAAUGCUGGUGGACGCAGGUGUACGUGUGUGGGUAUGUGCAUGUGUGUUGUGUAUUGAGUACCGUACAACAUCGUACAACACCGUACAACACACGCGUCGGCUACAGGCGCAUGGGAUUUUUUUCAUAGCACUCAUUGCGAUGCAGCUUCAUCCCGCGAUGAGCCUGACACAUGGCAACAGAACAGAUCUGUACGAUUAGCGCCGCCCCACCCCACCUCUACUCCACCUCCCACAUGGAAGAUGUUUCGUAACGUCGAAGCGUAGCCCGCAAUGUCCAAGUCCUUACCCUAAGGCGAAGGCGAAGGCCACCAUGCGUCAUUUGGGGCGGUGCGGGGUGGGGCCGUCCUCCUCCUCAUGUUCACACCAUCAACCUCUCCUCCUCCUCCUCCUCCUGCUCCUCCUCCCCAUCCCGCAGUGGACAACCACGACAGGACUACACUCGAAAUGGGACAGCGAACAAGGGACCUAGCGUGUGCUUAGGUGAAAAACUGCGAAAGCAGGCAAAGAGCCAAUGAUCACCAUUACCACCAUCUCCGCCGCUACCAAACCAUUACCGCCACCAAAUACCGAUGGGGAAAGGAGACGUUCAAGCAGAUGGAUACAUGCAUACAUACAUACAGAUAGACACGUGCUUGGCGGAGCCAAGAGAUAUUACUAGCAAAUGAGGAACGGGCCGACAUGGAGAGAGACAGGGUGAAAGAGCACAUUUUCGUCACACAAAUUCGCUUUUGGCUUUUUGCUCGUUUGGCAAAGCCCUUUCCGGGCCAUUUCUUUUUGCAGUUAGUAAUCACAAUGCACAUACAGCCACACAAGAGAGGAAAGCGGGAGAGACAAGUACAGGAAGAAGAGCAACGAGGUACGGAAAGUACGACAAACCAGAGGUACGGAGGGAAAACAACACAGACAAAGAGAGCCUGAUUCUUGAAGACGGGGAGCCUGAAGAGUCUGAAGCGCGCACGAUUAGAGAAAGGAACAAUGACGGACGAUAAAAUCUUGCAGACAGACAGACAGACAGACGGAAGGAUACAGACAGACAUACCGAUCGACCGACAGAUGCACGUCGUUUUUUCUAUUCCGUCGACGACUAAAAAGCAUACACGGGCAUGGCAGGCGCCUAAAAUCCGGGCGCCGUUAGGCAGCAGCAGCAACAGCAACAACAGCAGCAGAAGCCAAUAGACAUGCCCCCCGGCUCUUCCUUUCUUUUGCACCCGGACCGCGCCCAGCCCCACCUAGCUCCUAGCUCCAGUCCUCAACCCAACCGAACAGCGAAUGACGUCGCUGUCUUAGGAAAGGACCUUCCUCCUUUCAGCAGGCGCCGCGGAGUGCUAACCUUUAAAAAAAAGCAAAAUACGGCAUCAACCGUACAACUACCUGCCGCCCCGCCGAGCACACGCCGCCUCGCACCUAAGCACACUCUUACACAGACAGACAGACAGACAGACAGACAGACAGACAUGCAUGGCUUUCACACAACCCACCGGCCGUCGGCCCGACCCCGACCCCCCAUCUAAAAAGGGGCCGAGGCCGUCCUUCCUUCCUCUCAAGCCGCCCCAAACUAUUUCGAUCACUGAUCACUGACUCCGCUCCUGCUGAACACCCCCCUCCUGCUUCCCCCCCCUCCCCGGCAUCCAGUCUCGGGACGCACAACAAGCAGCAGCAGCCGCAGCACACCAGUAUAUAUUACGUAUUCACGCCGCCGCACCAGAAGCAGCUUGCGCGCCCCCAGCUUCCCCCGUGUGCUGCUGUUUUUCCCCCCUGCCUCCACUCCUCCUCCCCCAUGCCGCCUACAUCAAGCUUCACACUAACACAACAAAAAUCGCAGCACCCGUCUCCAAUUCUUGCAGGAGGUGGAGGUGGCGCAGGAGGUCAAGGGAAAAUAAUUGCCAGCAAGGCGCAAGAUGGGGAAGAGGGCGACUUAACAGUUUCGUAGCGCCCAGGGCCGUCAGUACACCACCACAGGACUCCACCACCACCACCACCACACACACACACACAUACACGUCAAAUCCCCCGACACACGCGCCUGCUGUUCUGGCCUUUCUCCUCUCCUUCCUCCCGCCGCCGUCGUACGGCACCCAUUGCGCGUUGUAAGUACGGCUAAAUGGGACGGUACAGGCCCCCAACAUGUGAUAGAAGUUUCCAGACAGGUAUUAUAAGGCAGCACCUUAUAAAUUCGAGAUUCUUCUGCACAACCCACACCUCACUACAUUGCUGGUGCUGCUGCUGCUCCUCGGCAUCAUCCGCCACACGCGCCGCCGUCUCAAUCCCAACGGAACCGCGCUCGGUGUCCGUAAUAUGGCGUGUGUUGCUGACGAUGAUAACGGAGGCCCCUGCCCCUUAUGCUCAUACAUAGCGACACAUACAUCUACAGAGACAGACUGACAGACUGACUGACACACACAAGGAAGCCACGCUAGGCCAUGGCACACGCACACGCACAAACUGCUCUUGUACCGGGCAAUAGUUCGUUGACUGGUUGGUGUGUGUCGUAUCUACUGCGCCAACGGCAAACGAACGUCGGCCUUACACCGCGUGUGCGUACAAACGGUCAUCGUACAGAUUGGAGUCAAUUAAGGCGGGCGGUGGAUGGGCGGGGAGAUGGGGCAAAACACAGGGGUGGCAGUGUCUCUCUCCUUCUUUUCCCCCCGUCCCCUUCUUUCCCCCUUCCUCCUCCCCCUCCUCCAUGUUUUUUUUCCUCUGCCAGCAUUGUCCCUUCUGGGAGAGAGACAUCAUCCACUCUGGUCAGUCUCCUCCGCCCACUGCCCCACCGCUUUCCCAUCGCAGCCACCGUCACACUCCACCACCGCGACCACUGCCACCUCGCCAAGCACGCGGCCGCCAUCGUCGUCGCCGAUUGUCCGUCGCAGCUGCCGCGACAACUCACAGCCGCCGCCGCCGCCGUGCGUUGAUCCCUUUAUCCUCAUCAAUAUCAUCAUCAUCAUCAUGAUAUUAUAGCAAAUGGCUGUGUGUGUGUGUUUUUAUCUCCGCAACUCUCCCUGAACACACCACCUACGCACUACACUAUACCCAACCGCGCCACAGAGGAGCGAGAGAGCUCACAACGGCGCGCACUCUUCUAGUCGCAGUUUUACUAGCUUGGAGCGUUACCAAGUGAGGGGAGGAGAUGGAAAUGUGAAGGGCUUCAGUGACUAACUAAAGUCGGAGAAACACAACAAAACACUAAAGUAAAACACUAAAACGACACAAGCAGCAGCAUCUUACAGAAAGCUCAGAAAGCUAUGCCUAUGAAAAAAGGACGGAGUGGUCCCUUUUUACACUGCUCUAUCCGUUCAAGGAAAGGAGGACGAGGGGGGAGGGUUGAGUAGGAUUGAGAGCGCGAUUUCCGGCCCUUCCCCGGCCUCCCCCCCGAAGAUGAAAAAGAAGAAGCCUACAGGAAAAAGGAAACGAGAGAGAGGAAGGAGAACACGGCAAAAGAAGAAGCAAAGAAGGAAAAGUACUAGACGACGGCUUUCAGGCGGCUACGACACAACGCACAUAAUGACGCGCACGGGGGCCCCGGGGGCCAGAAGGGCAAAACACGGCGGAUAGGGGAGGGGAGGGAGGGUAUACCGCUUGCAGGUCAGGGGUAUCUGGGGGAACAGGGCAGGGCCGCCGUUGGCCGCGCUGCCGCCCUCGCACACAACACCAAAGCCACCAUCAUGCCGGGAAACCGGGUUACCGAAAUCCGUAAAGCCAAUCGCGAACCCCCUCCCCUCCCCCAACUUGCGAUCCCCCAACUUGCGUGUAAUGAUGAGCAGCAGCCGUGCGGGGGAGCCGAGAUCCCCCACAGCCUUCCUCCCUCUUCCGUCCAUCAAUACGAUCAGUGAAUCCGCCAGCCAGUCUCUGCUUGCGCCUGCCCAGAGGGAACUUCACCCGCUCCCAUUCCCCCCAUUGCAUGGGGAGAACAUCUCUCUCUCCCUCCCUCUCUCCAAAAUGGAUCAACACCCAACCCAAAGGGGAUAGGUGGGUUGGAAAGGGGGAGACGACAAAAACACUGGCGAAUGAGAAGCGGGGGGGGAGGGGCGCGUAGACGCGCCUCUGUUCCGCACCUCCUCCACCCCGCCCCCGACACACACACACAUACCUCCCACCAUCACCACCACCAACAACAACGGCAACAACAACAACAACAACAACACCCCCCAACAACAACUGCGCUGCUAAAAUGUGGAUACGACGGCGUACGACAGCGUACGGCGCCAGCAGUGGCUCGGCGCGCAGCCUCCGCGUUCUCCGUAUCAAAGUAGCCAAACAAGACAGUGCGGCGGGGAGGAUCGAGAUGAAAGGCCGGGAUGGCCGUGCAAACGCGCGCGCGGGGGGGUUCCCCCUCCCCCACGUGCGAGGACAAGAGCUUUCAAUCCUUCGACAAAACACACAGGACCCCAGCAGGCCUUGCCAUCAUCACCCCUCCCCACCUCCCCCUCAAAUGUCAGCUUUCUCCCCCGCCUCAUCCGUUUCUUCUGCACACCCCACAAGAUCUCUCCCUCUUACCUCCAUCGUCUCUUCACCUCCUGCCACCGUCACCAAUCCUUGUCGCCAGCCCCGCGCCAUACACACAUAUACAAACAUACAUACACACACAGGCGCAGAUGAGCAGCUCCCCCUCCCCAAGCCCACCACCCUCACCGCCACGAACACUAAACGUCGCCUGCAAAAGGUCUCUUACAACCACACCACACCACCACCACCACCAGCAGGCAGUAUCAUCAACGCCACUGCAGAAGCAGAAGUAGCGCCAUCACCAUGACCAUCAUUGCCAUAACGAAGAAGCCCAGGGGGAGCCUGAUUAGGAAACCAAGACAAGAGAAGCCUCAGUCCCAGAGGCUCAGACGCACAUACGACUCUCGUUGCUGCACCAUGCACAGAGGUACAUACAUACAUACAUACACACACACUCCUUACCUCACCCACCACCUCCUCUUCCCCCGUCCCCUAAAAACAGUACACUACAACAGCCAUAAGCGCCUCGGCGGCCAAGUCGGCGGCCAAGUCCAGGACCCUUUGCCCCUUUGCACCUCCCUCCCUCUCUCGUCUCUCUGCCGCUGCCGCGACCACCAGUUUUCUCCGCCGUGAAGAGGCUCUUUAAUAAGAGCCCCCGUCCCCCGUUCAACCAGGCAAUGAAUCCAGGCAAGAGCAGCAGAGGGAGAGAGGCGCAGGUGAGGCGCGGCAUGACAGGCCGGGGGGAAUGAUCAUCAUGAUAAUCCGGAUCACACAUCGAAAAACACUCCCCCCGGCGUUGUCGUACUCAAUUUUGUGUCGCACUCAAGAAAAUGAUCCAAACGUCUUCCCCCGAUGAGACAUCAUGCUGCUGCAGUCAAGCAAAGCCGGCAGCAGAGCAAAAGCCGUCAUCGUCAUCGUAAGCACCCCGUAAGGGGCUCUCCAAGCCACCCGACACACACACUCUUGGACGUCAUCCGACAGACAGACAGACACACACAGAGACACACGUUCUGAUGAUUUGGGAAGAUCGAUACGUGAUAUACGUGUGUCGGGGGAGCCGCACGGGGCAGUACCGUGCGCAUGUGUCGAUCCGCUUCCCCAAAUUUGUUUCUGGAGAGCUUGGGAGAGAUUUCAACAACCUAUUCGAUGAAGCGGACGGCGUCCCCGCCCGCGUAACGGCGGCAACGAUGGCGGUGGUGGAGAAACAUACUUCGACGACUCGGUACGGCAAUGACGAAGGCGGCCGAUUUCCAGGCGAUGACGACAUAUGACAUCGUCUCGAGGAUGUGACGACGGCGGCGUCCAUAAAGAAAUGUACGGUAAAAAUGUCGGGCGAUAAGGACGACUGCGCUCGCGCACGAGGCCAAGGCGGCUCGUUGCGAAGCACCAUCUACCAGCAGCAGUAGCAGGGCUUCAGAAGCUACAGCGGUACGAGCUGCUGCCGGCGUUGCCUUCAUAGUGCCCUCCUCGAGUGCCGUUCCUGUUCCUGUUGCUGUAAUGAAGAUGAUGUGCAAUACCAACACCAGCACCAAUAACAACAGGAGUACGGGGGGAAGGGUUGAAAAGAGGUAAAACGAGUUUCCUCCUUUUGUGCUUCGCUUUUGCCUCCGAAAUCAUCACAUCAAGAUACAACCGUUACCAUCGCCAUCCAUUGCAAAUGAUGCCGCCCAUUUGCCGAGCGGUGCGUGGCAUCUCGCCGCGCGCCAUUGUCCGCCGCGUAUGUGGCCGUCCAUGUUUGUCCAUGUGUAUGUCACCCGCCGUCUGUCUCUUGCGGUUCCUAAACGCAGCGGCAGCAGCUAUCCAACACCCACACCCUACUCCCACCCACCCCUCCAGCUAUACAAGGCAAAAGCGGAAACCAAUUGAAGGUUCCCCUUUUCCAGUUCAUCCCCUAAAGGAGAACAAAAGCCGCGUCAGGGCUUUUUUGAACAUCCGCCCCCGCUGGGGGUCACACACACACGUCGUCGCCCCAUCUGCCGCAACAACAGCGGCGCCAAGUGCGCAGCCAGCCCUACCGCCCAUCCUACCAGCACCACCGCCGUCGUCGUGACCACUAUUCCGCAUAACCAACCGCAACGGCACCAGCAGAGCAGAGCAGAGCAGAGCAGCAACAGCAACAAGACAAGCCCAGCCCCUAACCAUGCAGCCCGCCAACGCUCCGUGUCGCGCUCUCGAUGCCAAUAUUCGUUGGUCUCCAACGGUCAAUUCGUUAGUACAGUUGUUGGUUAAUGUGGCAGGAAAGUCAACGUUCCGCGGAGGCCGCCCUCGUGGAGGUAGUCCGCCCAUGCCGAGGUAGACGGAUCGGCGCCGCUGGCGGCGGCGGCGGCGCCGCCGCCGCCGCCACGGGCGCUAGUAGCUCCCGGCGGGCUGGCGGGCCGCUUACGCAGCGGCAGCGCCGACGGGCAGCCCAUACCGGCGUCAGGGACGAAGUAGGUCUCGUCGCCAAAGGUCCACACAAACACCUCCUCUAGACGACCGCACCGCCAGCCGUGCACCCCUAGGCGAAUUCCGGCGCCAGGCACCACGCCCACAAAGCCGCUGGUGGUAGCGCCGGGUGCGCGGAGUGCCGCCGGAACUCUGCAGUACACAAACACGCCGGCGACGGAGGAGGACCCGGCGCCGCCGGGACCUGUGCCACCGCCGCCGCCGCCGCGGCGCUGCUGUUGGCAAUCUACGAAAACAUGCCACUCAAGACCGCGACAGAGGAUGUACGGCACGACGGCGACGCUGCCGUCAGGGCCGCCGCCGUCACUGUCAGAGAUGUCGUCAUUGACUGUGAACGCCGCGUGCGGCUGCGUGCCGUUACUCAGCGCGUCACGGAGACCUUGAUCCGGAAUGUGCCAUUCGAAGCAAAAUCCCUCAGCAGGGGAGCCCAAGUACCGUGGAGACAUGUCGUACCACGGCAGGCUGCAGUCGUACACGCUGCGCGCCACAUCGGCCAGCAGAGCGCGCUCCGCCGCGCCGGCGUGCACGUAGCGUGUGAGGAACGCCAGCUCCUCAUGGCGCAUCUCGAACCAUCGCCCACCGGGCCGCGCGUUGGAGCCGACGAGGGUCUUGGCGGCGGCUGGACCGACCCGUGGUUCAGUCAGAAGCUGAGGCAAUACGGCGGAGAGGUAGAAACCGCCGAGGGCCGCCAAGCGCACCGCAGCGCACACCGCCCGAGCCUGCUCCAAUGUAAUCUUCUCCUUAUUGGCCUGUAGCCAUAUCGCCACUAGCAGCAGCACCGACGCCUCGGCGUCGCUGCCAAAGGCUGGGGAGCACAGCAACGCAACGAGCGUCUGCGCCGGCAGCGACAGCACCUGCCGUCGCAGCCCAGGCAUAUUGAGCACGGAGAUCACGUCCAAUGUCUGAGAGGCCGAGCGCUGCGGCUGCUGCUGCGGCUGCUGCUGCUGCGGUUGCCGUUGCAGCGGCGGCGAGUGAAGAUCACCCGAGUGACGUGUCAGGCUGCGCGCCGGCAGCGGCGGCUGCGGUUGUGAGGCAACAGCGGGCGGGCGGUUGUGUAAAUCGAGUACGGCGGCGCCCGGGGCCGUGGCGGUGGUGCUGGCACGGAUGCCAGGCGCGGCGCCAUUGCGGAAACUGCCAGGGCCGCCGCCAGCGGCGGCGGCAGCAGCGUUUGCGGCGGCAGCAGCGCUCGCGGUAGAUGCCAUCCUGCCGACGUCACCACCGGACGCGACGGUAGCGGUAGCGGCGGCGCCAUUACCGGGAGGCCCCAGGCUGCUGCCCGACGACCUGCCUGGUGUUGGGCCCGCGCCGCCAGGCGUUCGGCCGUUCGAGGUGUUGAGCCGCGCCGCCAGGGCCAGCGCUUCAACGGCACCGAGCUCAUCAGCAUCUGCGUCCUGCAAGCUGUACGGCAUCGAGCCGCGAGACCGCAGGGCACCGGGCUGGAACACAGCAGCAGCGGCGGCCGCGAUGUCGCCGUUGCUGACGACAACGCUGUCACGCCCGGCCGAAGGCGGACACGCUGCACCCUGAUUCGCACGACGCGCCGCCACGCGGGCGCUGGCGGGCCGCUUGGGCGAGUCUUCCGCAGACCGCUCUCCGCCAGUCGCCAUAGCGCCUUCUGCCCCUUCGUCCUCCUCCUUCACGUUGCCGUCACGAUCCCGCUUUCCUGUUGCGGCCUGUAGCGGCCGCAGCGUCAGAGGCCGCAACGUCAAGGGCUGGGCGCCCUGCGAGCCUGCCAUCAUGGACAUCGUCGUGGGGGCGUCCGGUGCGGCGGCUUUGGCGCUUCCUCGUUCUUCCUCACCCUCGGCCGUCGUAGAGGCAACAGCAGCCGCCGCAGCAACAUCAGAGCCGGCACCACCGCCAGCGGCUGUAGGACUGUCCGCCAUCGUUGCCCCCGGCGCUCCAUCCUCCUCUUCGCCGCCACUCCCCGACCAGCCGCCCGUACCUAGGGGCUUUCCGGCUACUUGAGACUGCUCGAUGUUGUACUUGUACAGCAGCGCCAGCAGGUUGUUUAUUGCUGGCAGCUGAGCCCCGGGCUGACGGCUGGCACCGGGGUGAGCGUCACCGGCAGCGGCGGCGGCUCCGCCUGCCGACGCCUCCGCUGCCGUUGCCGCCGCAGCGGCGGCAACCAUGUUGGCAAGCAGAGAGUCAGUUGGCGGGGCCGGGAAGCCCGCGGCGGCGGGUGCUGUGGCGCCACCCCCGCUGCUGUUUCCGGCUGCCUGCAUGGCCGUUGCGUUGUAGUGACGCAGCGCCGAAACGCCAGAGUCGGAGUUGUUGUUGUUGUCACGGAGGGAAUCCAGCGCCUCGGCGGGUUGGUUCCGGAGCGCGCCUCCGGGAGCCUGACUCUGCGGGCCUUGCAGCUGGGGAAGGUGAGUCCGCUGCUGCUGCUGCUGCUGUUGUUGAUGUUCAAGCUCCGAUGCAAGCGCUUCUUCAGCGGCAAUUCGAUCCAUAGCGAUGUACGCGUCGCCGUACAUAUCGCCAUACUUACCGCUCCCGUACUUUUCUCGUGACUGGAGCAGGCGUCGUACAUCCAGGAUACACUGUUCACUAGGCUUGUUUGCGGACCCGUGGGCAGCGGCGGUGGUGGCGGAUGGCUUGCGUUGCACGUCUGCAGCUGCGUCGGCUUGCUCGUCACCCUCCUGCAUGACGUCGGCGUCGUGCUGCUGCUGUUGUUGGUGCUGCAUUAGCAUGAGUUGGGGGUGUUGUUGUUGCAUUUGAGACAGCUGUGCGAGGUGCGCUAGCUGUUGGUGCUGCUGCAGCUCAUCUCGCUUCUGCAGAAGCUGCGUCAAUUGUACCAGCUGAUCCUGCUGCUGUUGCUGAAGCAGCUGCUGCUCUUGCUGCUGCAAGUGCUGUUGCUGCAUGGCUGCUUGGAGCUCGGGAUGGUCCAUCAGAAGCUGCACGCGCGCAAUCAUCUCUGAGGCUUGUGGAGGCGGCGGGCCGCAUUGACGCACGGCGAUGUCAAACAUGGCCUUGCGGGUGGCGUAGUCAUAAGCAUGGUCGUGGACGGCGAGGGCAUACGUACGCAGGAACGAGCGCUUCUGCGUGUCCUUGCAUCGCAGCGUUGAAUGCCAGAUGUUCUGCGGUUCAAGGCACGGGAGGCGGUUGUCUUGGUGGGUCCCUCAGUGCGAGGUCCAAGGUCAUUUGGUUACGCACCGCUCCUGGUCAAGCACCGAGUUGAACAAGCAUGUGGCAAAAAACCUAAAAGGUUUCUAGGGACCUAGAAGGACCAGUUGUGGGAAUACAAGCGUUGAUAGACGCCGACGUUGCGAACGGAGAGAAAUGCUCAGAAACAGUAACGCCGCAAAGUCCCGACUGAAGCCAAUGGAGAUGCCACCGCUAGAAAUUAGUAUGUAUAGCAGUGCCAAAUACCAAUGCUUACGAGAUUGAAACCCUCGUGGCGGCCAACGAAGUCGCGUCCUCGCGUCCCGUUCCCCAGCUUUAUGCAAUGCCAGGGGCCCCCAACCAAAAGCGCCGCAGCAUGAUAGUGAUAAGCAUACUUAGGAAACGCGCAUGCCUUGCACGUGCCGCUUGGCAUCACAGACGUUGAACAAAAUCUAGCGCAGGCCCACACAGCUUUGUCGAAGACCCUAUCCCUCAGACGCGCGCACAUUCUGUAUGCGAUCAAGCAAGGAAGUUGAGUAUCUGGAGCAUCCUUGUAACCCAUGUUUGGCGUCACGCGUAAGAGAACGCCCAUGGCUGGACGCCGGAGCGGCUUGACCCGGAACCUACUUUAACAUCAUUCUCGGAUCUCAAGGGCAGAUAUGCAGCAAUCUGAGUCCAUCUGCAGGUCACAAAGGCAAACCGUCAUGAGUUUGUGCCCGCCUUGAGCGACAAGCGCACUCCGUGCUCCGGCCUCACCUGUUCCCCAGCUCGCAAUGCUUGAUAGCGACAACAGCCUGCUCUGUAGGAGUCCAAGGUGGCUUCUUGCGGCCGGCUCGCAGGAGGGCAGCCUCUGCGCUGUCCACCGGUGGUUCGCUUUGUAACUUUUGCUUCUUGCUGGCGGGCUCUAGCAGCAUGUCCGCAGAGACAGUUGUAGAUGUAGCAGCGGAUGUCUUGUGAAGGGUUUCAAGCAACUCGCGUCCAUUCUUGUCGAGGUCUCGAUUGACGAGGACAUCCAGGGGAACGCUCAAGAAGGUUGGGCCAACAGGGGCCGUCAUGGUGCCCAUAUCACGAAUUGCUAUACGGAGUAGAUAGUCUCACCGCUAUUCAAGUACACCUAAACGGAUGGGCCACAGGAAAUUGUACAGCGAAUGCAGAAUCACAAUCCGCCCAUUGCCCGAGUAGUCACGUUUUAAGCCAGUUUCCAGACAUUAGGAGAAGCGAAUCUCAUUUGCAAAAAUGGCAACAUCUAUGCGAAGAUGGCGGUCCUAAUCGCGACGACUUUCGUGGCCCGACCACCCAGCACAUGUGCUUAAGAAACACAGGGCAAUAGCAACAAACAUUUGCUUCUUGAAAACUGGUUUACCCAGCCCAGAAAAAGUCCAUCUGUGCUCGACACACGGUUACAGGUCACCUGCCGUACUCUCAGGGUGUCCUCCCGGCUGCGUCCUUUUAUGCCCUCAAAUAGUCGCCAUGCGGUAGGGUAUGCCAUCCAGUGUUAAAAUGAAUCAUCGCUUGACAGUGGGUCCUCACAGGCUGACCUUCAGCUCGUAACCGGCGAAUAACAGCAUAACGUGUUGGACGCUUGACAUUGACGACACUAGUUCAAUUCAAUACUUUUCUUACAUAAUUCUUCCGGAACGUACGUGGCGAAAAAACGGCUACGAUCAGCUGCAUCUUUUCCUUGUUUUGUGCUAUGCUUGAUUUCAUUUGGCCAUGCUUUGAAAACAAGCAAGCGCAGCAAAAGUUAAAGGUCGUGACCCCCCUGGGACCAGCAUGCCGCCCUUCAUACCCGAAUUAGGCAUUCUCUCCGUUUCCAGCACGCACACUUUUAGCGCCCACACUUUCUAAUUGCAACAGAAUAUUUCGAUUGCUUUUCAUCAUGGAUAAUGGCUUAAUAAAGAGGUGCAUGUCGUCCGAAACCCUUCCAGACGCUGUGAUGAAAGCAGACACGAAAACGCGAAGUUCCAUGGCCUCCAUAACAUGCAUGCUAAGCCAGUUUCUUUCCUUUCUGGGAGAGAAACUUGUGUGGCGCGUGGUCGACUUGCACUCUUCAGCGCCCUGCUCUUGAAUUACCCCAAGGAAACACACCCAAUCCUCCACGCUCCUCUCCGGCUAUGCCAUCCAACAGCCAGUCCCACAGCCAGCCCCCGCGGGCGCUGGUGACAGGAAGGACCAGCAUCGAUCCAUACAGCUGUGGGACAGGACGUGUUGGGUGGUGCUCCGCACUCCUCCGCAGCGCCAGCUACGCAAAACGAAACAAAUCGCCACGCGGAACAGUACACGGUAUUGGGCCGGAUCGAUCAGGUGCAAGAACAUUUGCUUUGACGCUGGCACAACAGCUCAAUAAUGGCCCCCCCCAGAAUUGUGUGAAUCUCAUGCCCCAUCCGACUCUUGUUAUGUGGCCCGGACACCACAAACGUGCAGGCCCCAGGGAAACCUUUCUGUAGCGCGCAGCGAGGUUACGAAAUCCUCGCCGGUAGCCGUCCUCUAGAGGGUUCCAGCAAGCGGUGAACCUGAAUGGAAAUUAUUAUUUCAUCCAGAACGCACCGGCGGUGUCGAUUACUCGCUCGCUUUCGCUGUGGAACGAGAGUAGAUAGGCGCGUAUACAGGCGUGAGGGCUAGCGAAGUUCCCAGCCACGCCAUCUACGAUGUUCGCUGUAGAUUGAUGAAGCAUCCGAUUGACGGAUUCCGUUAGGGAAAAGAUAGGAAGAACAACCGUUGGAACCCUCAUCCUCGUGGACAGAGGGCCGAAAUGCAAGACCCAACGGCCUCAAUCAACCCUACUGUCCACUGCCACAAUACCUGUACAUCAAGGAACCUCGCACCAUGCAACGUCAAGCAACCCCUCCAUGGCGAGCCAGGUGUAAUGUCCAUGAGAACCAGCUUAGCCAUCGCAUGUACGCAGUUUCCUAUGGGUAUGCCAGAGUGUCACACGACACGGCGCGUUGCGCCCGUUUGGCCAAGUACGAGACUCUACCACCGCUUACAGCCGCGCCGCGAUGACAGAAUGAGGCGUUAUACAUGCGAUUGGCACUUACCUGCUACCUUCUGCGUGUCAGAAAGGGUUAAAUACGCCUUUUUUCUGUCUUCUCAGCGUCGCGUGGACGAACCAGCGGGCGACGCAGACGAGUGCGAAGCUGGAGAGAGCCACGGCUGGAUCAGCAUGUAGAAUAGGCACCAGUUACUCAGCCAUAGGUCAUGUGUCAGCUGAAAACAUUUCUAUGACUAACGAGUCUACGGCUAUUAUCUGAACACAAUCCCAGCAAAUGCUCUAAUAUAAUACCUUGGACUGAUACAAUCCAUAGGAUGCUUCCAAUCAGCAUCAUGUGCCGCAUUCGGCAAAAGUUCUGGGUCACGUCAUCACAUCUUACGGCAGCAUAGUUACUUUUUGAGAUCAUAAUCUUUCUGCACCACAUGCCUAACAGAAGCUUGCAGGGUUGAUUUUCCUCUGAUAUAAAUAUAGAAAAUGUCGCCUUAACAACAACGCCAUACAUCGAUUGUCAUCCUUCGGCACAUUUUUGAGACGUCGCCCCUGACGCUUCUAUACAUUCCUUAAAACUCUCCGCUAAUUAUUUUCCAUGGGAGACGCGCUUGUACACGACGGCAGCAUUUUCUCGCCUGAUGCUGUCGUUGCACGGUUGUUGACUCAGAUUUACUCUAAAUUAGGUAACUGCUGCAUUGAAGAAUAAAGUUCAUCAUUGGGCAUUGAGUUUUCUGGAGGCAUUGAGGACUCUUUCGUACGUUCGCGUCGGUUUGCGUCCAUGUGCAAAAAGAGCUUCUUAAUUUAUCAGUCCGAUCGAGAACCCCAUUUUAUACAAUCAAAACCCAGUCGUGCCUUGAGCCAAGGAGUCCGAGUUACUGGCCGAGUUACUGGCAAUUACACCAGAGGUGGAGUUCCUUGCUGAAAUGCUGGACCGCAAAAACUCAUGGAUAUUCGGAAUUCAAUUUAAUGAAAUACACGUAAGUUCAGUGUGCUGGUGCAAAGUGCUGUUUCGCUGGUUACGAGGUUUUUUCGUACUGUUUCGCUCAUCACUGGCGCUCUGGCUGGAUAGGGAUAGGAGCCAAGGAAAGGACUUCGAAUAAAGGCUUCAAUUGCCAAUCCGUUGACGUGUUUCCGCCUUAGACAUUGAAGUGUACUUGCAAGGUGCUAUUGCGCCUCUGGGUUACGCGGGAGUGUCACCUGGAUUACUACUUUGGUUCAGCAGAUAGCAUCCCGCCUGGGCUUCAAGGUGACUUUGUAUUUUUCCGCAGUUGCGUGAACUCGCUGCCUCAUGACGUGCGGUGAAACACGUAGAGUUAGGAAGGGAGAUGACUCGGCACGUGUCUACUCAAUUUGGAUUCUUGGUCGGUAACUCUCCGACAACGUUUGGUCUUCCAACCUUUCGCGAUAAUGCGCGCGCUCGUUUCGGCGGCCUCGAUUGCUUCGGGGUGCUUCGGAAUCUCAGUUGUUCGGCAUGUUCUGCUCAUACUUGCUCAUCUGGGAGCGACCUCCGUCAACUCACAUCACAGCGUCGUCUGGGCAAAAGCCUGGAAAUGCAGCCCUGCAACGUGCGAACCCUCUCAGCUAGACCAGACCAGACCGAAACGGUUGAAAUUAUAUUUCGUGGACCAGCUAGCUACCGAACAUAGGAUGGAAAAUCUACCCAACAAUUGUUGAAGCAAGGAUUGUUAAAAAAAGCAACCGUAACAGCUUAACUGCCCAGCUGUCCGAUGAGCGCCCAGUCGAAAGGCCACAAACAGGCCCAUUAUGCGGCCGCGGACUGCCGCGGACUGCCGCGGACUGCCGCGGACUGCUACGGCUCGAGCUAUUCAGUGGAUAAGACUCUGGUUUCUACGUAGGGUGUUUUUCCGUCUGGGCGCGCAAACUUAGGUAACCUAACGAAGUUCGCGCCGCUGCGCUGGGCUGCGUUUUUGUUAUGACGGAAAAAGCCGAGGCCGUACACACCAAUUGAACGUCAGGGAAGGGAAGGAAGCAUUUGGCUGCCUACUUGGGUAGCUGGUCCACUCCAGUCUACAAUACCACAUACCACGACACACAGUGGACAGUUGCCAAACGGCCUUGGUCAUUUGCAGAUUUAGAAGGUGACCCAUAAUGCCAUAAGGCUCAGAUGUUGGUUGUUGGGUGCUGUAUGGCUGUCGAUCGUUUCGGGCCUACAUUAUUCUAUCGUCUGUGCCGUUACAGUGAAGUCUAGAAACCCGGAAGCGCAGAUCUAUAGUUGCUGAGACUUUAUGGCCAAUGAGAUUGGGGCUAGGGUCUGCGUGUCUGCGUCGUAGUCUGCGUGGUGAUCUUUUUUGGCUACCCGUUUCAGUUGCGCUGCUUCCGGCCCGUUGGGGAGGGUUGGGGGAUGCGGAAUACUGCCUGCUCGGAAGGCCAAGGAUUUCGUGCCGAAUGCAUCAGUGCAGGUACUGUGGGAAGGUUUCUUAGCAGGACGUAACGGCCAGGCACGUUGAACCAUAUCGUACUGGUUGAGACUCGAGUUUUGUGAGGCUUUGUGUCGUACAAGGAUCCAAGGGCAGAUACUUUCGCAAGAGCAAAAUCCUCGUGAUUAUCUCGCUUUUGCUUCUUGUAACGAUUAAACUUGCAUAGUGAUUGCGAAAUCUGUCAAUGAUAUCAGUAUGGGGUGGGGCAUCUCCUCUUUACGGGAACUAAUUAACAAGCUGCGCAAUUCUUGAGUCGCUUGAGAUGGACAAGCUGCGCUAUCUGUUGAUCUGUGAUUGGCUUGCCUGCUUAUGAUUUCAAACCUGGACGCUUAAGUAAUCAGUACAGGCAAAGCACUCGGUGGUUCCGUCAUGCUUAAGCUAUCAGAUGCUUGGUGGCCAUUAGCUCUGGCAACGAUGGCAGGACUCUCGACCAGCCUGGGUGCAAUCGUCGCCGUGAGUUGGAUGGAGUUGGCAGAGAGGCAAACACACUAUUUUCACAGCUUGUACAAUGGCUUGAUGUCAUGAAAGUCUUUUAUGCCAAAGGAGUCUGGGAAGCACCUGUUCUGCCCACUUCCUCGCGGCCAAUGCCUCAUAUGGUAAAACACAUUCCCGCGCUUUCAGGUUGUCCGUAAGCCUAACGCGAGCUCAAUGGCUGCACUGCUGGGAAUUGCACUCGGCGUGAUGGCCACCGUUAGCUGCGUUGAGCUUGUCGCCAAGAACGCCAUGUCCGGGGCGGGGGAUCCCUUUCUUAUCCUGGCUGCUGCUAUGUCCGGUGCUCUGGCGUACUACAUGCUGGAACCGUUAUUCCCAAAAAUGGACGAGCAUCAUGACCAUAUCAAGGUAAAGGCCCAUCCAACGUCGGCGCAGGUCUCCAUCCAGUCCUCACAUUCUCCCUAAACGAUACCUCAUACGUUUCCCCCUCGGGGCAAGAGCAUAUUACGCCGAUUCUGUUGUCCCUCCUGGGGGGCAGAACCCUUUCCCGUCGGCCCUUUGGUCCUCUCUCCUCUCCUGCCCAGUUGCUCCUCUGGUCCCCUCUCUCCUCUCCUGCCCAGAAACAGGACGACCUGGACGACCACGAAGCGUUUUUCCAGCUAUUGCAACAGCAGCAGCAGCCACAGCACUCCAGCAGCGACACAGAGAGGUCGAGCCACGGAGGUGAGCGGGCAGCAAGGGAGGACAAUUACAAGAUUGCAAGAUGCAUCAAGAUAGUCGACUGCUGAACUGCCCAAAGCAGCUGAAGCAACUGCCCAUGUUUGUUGUCCGCAAACUACUCACCCAACGGACCAGGGGGUGGAGGCUGAGCUGCGGGUCUGUGAACGCGAGCUCUGAGGACUUUUGGGGGGUUAUAGCUUCUUGGGAAAGGCGCUGACCUGGGGGAAGGUCUUGCAGUAAUCGUGUUCCUUGUCCCCUGCACCUCCCGGCGACAUCUCUUCCUCAUCGGCUUUUUCCACACCCAGCUCGCCCCCGCGAUUAUCGCGGAUUUGGAAGCCAAAUCAACCAUACCGAAUCGUACAAAUAUACCAAAUCGUACAACCGUACCAGAAAAACGGUUGACCCACAUCAGCACAAACCUUUUAAGGAGCUCCAAGGCCUUCAGCAACCUGAGCUGCCUAAUCGAAGGGGACCCAUGGCACCCACCUCCAGCUGACCCACAAAGCAUUCCGUCUCUUGGGUCUAAGAUGCAAGCGAGGGCAGGGGAGUGCGGCAGGCUAGAUUUCGAAAACAGUUGGAUACACGCCCAAGCACUGUUACCAGCCGUGUGUGUGUGUGUGAGGGAGAGUGUGUGUUCAGCAUGGCGGCCCCCCCCCCAGGAUUCCGCGACCAAUCUCACCGUCUUGCAACUGCAACCAUCUUCCCAUUAUGUCAUGGCGCGAUCCAAAUUAUUUGAGGCGGCCGCAGCCUCGCAACGCAAGGUGACUACGGCCGGCGCAGGAUGCUAUGGUACGACGACCACGUUAGCGCAAGGAGGAUGCGGCGGUGCUGGGAUAGCCGCGGCCGGCGGCGGCGCAGGAGCAUCGUCGACAUCGGUACUGCUGGCAACGGCAACAAGCGGUGGCAGUGGCGGCCUGGCGCGUAAGGCCAACGUCGAACGGCAGCCGUCUUUUGCAGCAGGAAUGGCGGCGAUCGCGGCGCCAGGGCUGGGAGGCACAUGUACCAUGGGCGGCGGCGGCAGCAGCAGCAGCACAGCCUUGCAGAUGGAGGGCCUUAUAGCCCUGGGCAGCGGCGGCGCCGCCGGCGGUGCGGGUGCAGGCAGCGGUGGUGCGGUGGCUGGUUUCGGGGCUGCCGCCACUGCAGGCAGCGAUGGCGCGCUGUUCAUCGGCAGCGGGAGCAACUCUGCCUCCUCCUCCUCCGCGGCGGCGGCGGCGCUGGCGACGGGAAAGGGAGUGCGGGGCCCUCGGGGGGGCCGCAUGCUCCGCCUGGGUGUCCUUAUGGCGGUCACCAUGACGUUGCACAACCUGCCGGAAGGCUUUGCGGUCAGUAACGCGAACGCGGCAGUCGGGGCCCGGGAAGCUUCUCAAGGGGCUUCUCAAGGGGCUUCUCAAGGGGCUUCUUCACCCCGAUUUGAGCCCAGUUAUGCCAGACUUUCUCCUCUUUUGGAGUUUAUGUGGCUUGGAGGCGGGCGGUGGGGGGGGGGGACGAGGGGAUGGCGGGUGGGUGGGAGGAUGGAUGGAUAGAGGGCUCGCGGAUGCUAGGUAGGUAAGGGGCUGGGCGAAGAGGGGUAGGAGGAGGACGAGGCUACAUGGGAGGGCUGUUAGGGGUUUAGGGAGGGCACGGGAUGUAAGGGGGAAAUGGCGAGGGGGCUGGAAGAUGGAUGAAGAUGGAAGAUGGAGCAGUUCGGGAGGACAUGUGGCUCGGUGCUUAGGAUGAUCAUGAUUAGGAUGUUUAUCCUUGCGAAACACCUCGAUUCUUUCCGCUAUCCAUCCUUUGGCCUUUCCUUCGUUGUUUAGCACUGCUCUGAAACACCAGACCUGAACUCGCGGGCGAGCCCCUGACGGCUUCUUGACACACGUGCGCGCCGUCGCAGGUGGCCUUCUCCGCUUUUACCGACUUUGGACCGAUCAUGGCGCUGGCGAUAGCGCUCCACAACAUCCCAGAGGUGAGGUUGUACGUCCAGGGUGUUUGCAUGCUUGCUGCGGCUUUGCGUGUAUGCAGAGGGGGCUGCAUGUUUGAUAGGGGUUUGUGCGGCUAGAGGUUCGCACGGUUGUUGGUUGGACUGGCGUGGCGAAGGCAAGGUGGUUUACCUGGUGAUGCAUGUCGUUGUGAGACCGGGUGUGGAAAUGUGACGGGUUAAAGGUCGGGACGGGCCGGACUUCUAUCCCGUACGGCACGCUAUCCAAGGCGCGAUCCCGUACGGCACCUUGAUGGCCGUACUUGGUCUCUCCCGCCGUACGUACCUCGGCGGGCCGCUUAGACGUGGACGUGUGUGCUGGCGGGGGUGUAGAGGUUAAUGGUGCCUGGCAUCUCUUCAGCCACCCGCAUUUCCUCCCCACCACCAAGCCUGUCCUACUCGGUCGCGAUCACCUCCAUCUUGGACGAAGAGGGCAUCUGGGACAAAUAGAAACCCUAAACCCUAACAAACGUGGAGGAGUAGGAAACUGACGCCUCGAACCGAAAUCGUCUCACAUCCCGUUUGCUCACUUUCCUCCUGUCUGCCUCUGGACGCCGGCAGCUUAUUUCUGAUUUUUUUCCUUGCACGUAAUUCCCCCUUGCCUGAGUCGCAUUGCUCGUUAUGUAAUAAAUUCUGAGCGGUACCCCCCCCCCUUUUUUUCGUACCUCACCUCCUCCCUUUUUGCCUUUUUGCACAUAACGCCUUUCCGUCCUCCUCCGCCGCCGCCGCAUUUCUUAGGGUGUCAUCGUAGCAGCGCCUAUCUACGCGGCUACGGGCAGCAGGUGGAGAGCCAUCGGCGUUGCGACAGCGUCGGUGGGUGGCGGCCCAGAUGGACUAACUAAUUCUACCCGAGCGCUAGGUCGCGCCCCUGAGCUUGGGGGGGAAAGACACGCCACGAUAUGCGAUGAGGCCGCGGGAGACAUUGACCAGGGGCGACGUCAGGGAGGAUGGGGAUGUUGUGUUCGUGCUGCGUCCAGCUGUCUCAACUGCCCCCGAGCGCGAUUUCCUUGCAUGGGAUUUCUGAAUCUAAAACUCCCCAAGUGGCCCCGUUCUCCCCUGCGGGUGAUCACUGCGGGUGCUCACUGCGGGUUUCACUGCUGCUGGUGAUGCUUCUGCUGCAGCUCCUGACCGGACCGCCGGUCUGGACUCUUCGUUUUGCUCCUGCUCCCAGCUCCACCCCCGUGCCUGUCUGUCUGUCUGUCUGUCUACUCCGUCUGUCUCAGGGCUUGUCGGAGCCGUUGGGGGCGCUGCUGUCGCUGCUGCUGCUGCAGCCUUUCUUCACCCAGGAGCGUCUGCACUACCUGUUGGCGUUUGUUGGGGGAGUUAUGGUAAGGGGGGUUAAGGGGAGGGGUCGGGGCAGCGAGGAUAGGAUGGGAACGGAGGGGGGAGAGAACGCUGGGAGACCUGGGUCGUGGAUGGGGUGGGCAGUGAGUUUGGGAUAUGAGUUUGGGAACCCUCGGCAACCGGCCACUCGGCUACCCUGGGCUAUUUGAACUAAACGACGAUCCGCUCCCGUUCCCACCCUCCUUUCCCCACCUACCCGCUCUCGUUCCUGGCCAAUGUAAAACAGUUGAGCUGGGGUCAAAUCGCGGUUACAGUUGCGGUUCGGGUCACGUGUACCCUGACCAAUUUGUAUCCUUGCCGCAUCUGGUACCCCUAGGAGUUUCGAAGGAGUUUCGGAGCUCCACAGGGGGUUUCAGCGAUCGGAAGGCUCUGGAAGCGCAUAGCCAAGGUGUCUUGGGAACCUUCAUGGCUCGACGUGUGUGCUCAAGGACGUAUGGGCUGUUGGGAAUCGGGAGGCAGGGCUUUCCAAACCCGUCUUGAUUUCGAAUAACGGUAUUACCCCCCCCCAUCUCCUUGCCUUUCCUCCCCCUGUACUGAAUCCCCUUGCUUGACACGAUACGUAUUCCCUUCUUUCCCGGUUUGUUUCGCGCUCCCAUGUUCCCGUGUUCACUUGUCCCUGGGCUCCAGCUGGCAGUGUGCGGUAUUGAGCUGUGGCCCGAGGGCCGGAACUGCCGCAACGAUCGCUACUUUGCGGGCGGCAUCCUGGGGGGAUCCCUGGUCAUGGGCUGGACGCUGUAUGUGGAGGGAUAGAGCCCACCGGCCUGCAAGCAGAUGAUCGUGAAUAGGAGGGAGAGGGAGAGGAAGCAGAGCGAAGAUGGAGGGAGAGGAGGAGGUGGGAGUGAGAACUAUUUGGGGCUAAAGGAGCCCCGGGGCGCUGCGACGGCGGAGUUAAGGCGGUACAGGAAGGGAGGGGAAGGGAGGAGGAAGGGAGGCUCCCGGCGUGGGCAAGGCGUGGACAGAGGAGGGAAUGCGGGGACGAGAGCGGCCCGGGAGGGCGGCUUUCUUGAUGGGCUGUCCGGUCGCAGCUCUUGAAGUGUCGGCGUGUGUUCGGGCUCUCGUCUUCCGUCCCGACACCCGCCCCGACACCCCCCUCGCGCUCCCUCUACAUCCCUCUCCUCUUGCCUUUAUGCGGAAGCGAAUGCGAACCGAAAGGCGGCGACGACAAUGACGCAAGUGAAACGAUACAACGCGGACCCCCGCGACAGAUGUGGCGCUGCAGUGUCCGCACAAAUGCGGAGGGGUCCGUCAAAGCCGGGGGGGGGGCCAUUGGGGUGCCGUUGGUGAAAUUGACGUUAGGGACUUCAGGGAGAAUGCACAUGUGGUGACAGGGCCUCCUGUGUGAAGACAUGGACAGCCGUGUUGCUAUGUCCGCCUGAUGGUGCUGUGCGCCGCGGUUUUCCUUUCCUCCCGCCCACACAUGGGAAAGCAACGCUGACUGUCCUGUGCAUAUCAGGAUAGUAUUUAACGCGGUGAGGAGAGCUGGUAAAGGGAAGGCGUUACAAACAAAGCGCAGUAAGGCCACGAUUUCUCAUAUGUGUUAAGUGGUGGCGCGCUAAGGGCGUUUUAUUGGAACCAAGGCCCGUGGCUCCUCAAAAGGGAAGCAACAGCACUCACUCUUUCUACUUGCAAGUACCCCCGCUGUGACUGUGGCCGCCGGCAGUUGUGUAACGGUUAGUCACGCUUAAUCUCAUUCCUGUUUUGCGGACGGUAUGGCAACGGUGCGGAAAAAAAGAUGUAGCAUUUAGUAGUGUGAACGGCGACAUUACAGCGCACUGCGUACAUAACACAACAGGUGUAUGUACGCAUACAUCGCGGCUGCAUUUUCAUUUUUUUAUCUCUGUUCAUUUUUCUUACGCUGAAACGCAGCACCAUAAAAGGUGCACACUUGCACCAGCAUGUUUAUGUACGUGUGCGACCAUUGUUUGUCGGGCUGUUCGCCUGUCGCAGGGCCCCUUCUGGUUGGAGCAGUCGGGGACCGGGUUGUGGGUGCAUGGGUGUGCCUAUUUGUUCUUGCUCCGUGUUUUUGGCCGUGUGCGUUACAGGCAUCAACAUUAUCGGUCCUGAAUCUUCCCGUAAUUCUCGGCUGUUAGGACCCAGCCGCGUCAUUGUUGUUGAGCCCGUACAUAAUGACUUGUGGCAUUGCGAUAGAUGGCCAGCUAGUUGCGAGUUGUCUAUCCAGAUAGAUUUCCGCCAUCAAUAAGCCCUUGACUUGCUGUGCGGCCAAAAGGACUGAGUGCAUAAGCACCAUAAAUCCCGACUUUAUAAUUUGUAAGCGGGACACAAAACAGCGAUGUAGCGGAAGCGAUGUCUGUGUGUUUUUCGUGGUUUGGGAUGGAUUUUUUGUAUCUACGGAUCUGAGAGGACCUUCCCCGCGUUUUGUAAGGUGUACCUUUGGCUUGUCAAGGACGUCAAACCUGUUGACUUAAGUCGAAGCCUCUGCCGCUUUACUCAGGCUCUCUACCUUAGUUUGUCUCGCCACAAAUCAGAUGCAGAAUUUCCGAUCAGUAAAUACUAGGUAUUAGUAUUACAACUAUCCCCAGACCCAGACCCCAAGGGAAAACCUCAGGUUAGGCCCAUCGGGCCACAACGGACUGCCGUACACUGCACCACUGGGACACCUAAGACCAUACCUCAAUUGCUCAAUUGCGGUGCACUUCCCGUCUUAUACUGCUAUAUAAUGGGUUUGUUACAUGCAAACGUUUUGAUUGCGUAGUCUUACUUUCAAGUCCGUGGUCAAAACACUGCAAUGAGUUUUUAUGCUUACAACCCCGUUCCUCCGAAACCGAAGACAUAAAAUAUCAUUAAUGCCCCAGUACCUGCUAAGGCUGAUACGCCCACCGUAAGACAACCUUUGCGUUCAGGGCUUGCCAGAAACGCUCUGCCCGCUGAUGAGCAAUCUGGCACGAAUUUUAGGACCGCAGCACAUGGGCCUUAUCAUGACGACACCACGGCGCUGCCCUUCUCCCCCAUCAGCUGUGAAGACGGCAGGAACUUGCAGGCUCCAGCGACACCAUACAGUACAGCCAGUAUGCCGUACGCUACUGCUGCCAUGGCGCCCGGCAGCAGCAGCAACAGCGACCCACGCCCCCCUGCGGCGGCAGUAGUACCUGCUACAGCUGCAGCCACCUCCGACACGGUCUGUAACAUGAGAUGUAGCAACAAAACGAGCCAGGUGUAGUUACGGGCGGCGAUUCGGGAGCCCUGGGCCAUGACGGAGUGCCGCUCACCCUCACCAGCCUGCGAAACAUGCCGGGGAACGUUUUUAGACAAAUUAAAAAUUACAUAAAAUUUGUUGGAUAUGAAGUAACGGGAUGGCGGGCAGGUGGAACGGCCAAAAUAGCCAAGUGGGAUAAGUGGGUGGGUGCGUCGUUGGAGAAGGCCUUGAGGUUUCAGCCAUAACUUAGCUCGGCCAUCCGGGGCCUCCGGACCACCUGACAGCAUGCGCUGUGAGAUUCCCGAAAGGGAGCUCUUGUAAGGUCCAAACACGGUAGCCUCGGUACUAAACGGUGGGCCAGGAAUAACAUUUUUUGUGGCUGAAGACGCUUAAAUGCACGGGGAAGAGGCGCUGGCAUUUCAGUGCCUACAGACUGUGGGUACCUGCCAUAUGCACACGCACAGUCCGCCUUAAAGCUGCAUUUCUCUUUUCGGAGGUGCAAAUGCCACUUGGUCUUAUCGCAGGAUCUCCCCCGACACACGUCGCAAAUCACCUCGAUCUCAAGUUUCUUGCGGCCUCUUAGCCGCCUGCCCCUCUGGCUGGCCACAAGAAUAGCGAGGCUGGCAUAUCCAGCACCGUACAGAGGGAUCAGCACGCCUUCGCUGUACACCGGAUAAGAGAGACACAGCCAGGCUGCUGUACACAAUUGGGCUGUGGCUGCAAGGCCGCACCCUAGCAGGAUCUGGUCUUGGGCGGGGCGCAAUGAUAGCGCCAGGCGUGAUACCCAGACGUGUCCAUGCUCGGUCAACGUUGUGCAGAAAUAAACUAGAAAUGCCAAAGCUGCCGCCAGAGCUGCGAUUGUAUUUGCUUGAAUGCAAGCUACUUCGCUGGUGCCGCGGAGAGCAACACUCAGCAAAGCCAGAGCUCCGGGUGCAAGGGCUAUGGCCGGGAUUGCACGCGCAACCGGUGAGGAAGGCUCCUGCAACGGUUGCUCAUUUAGCGCUGCAAGCCUUAAUUUUAUAGUCAAAUAACUUCGAUGUCUAGCUUGGCCAUGUAUGCCUGUCGUCGCCAAGGGCUUGCAAGCUGUUCUCCUGGCCCACAACGCAACCGGUUCGCCGUAGCGUCCACAUCUUUGUUGCUUACACUCAGUAAAUACGGUAAGGUUUAGAGCGCACAUAUGGCCUAUCACAGGUGUUCAAGGCUCGGUUGUGGCUUUCACAUCUAAAACGCAACGCAACGUUCAACAAAUCUUGAAUGAAUACAUUUUCUCGCAUCUUUUAUCGCUGCUUUAAAUGAAAAGCAUUCUCACUAUAUUUCCUCGCCAAGUCGUUCGGAAAUGUAGGGCUUCAUUCAUGAUGCAGAAAAUGUGUGAUAUUCUCCUGAACAGAUUCAGUGCCAACCUGUAAUGUAGGAGCGGCCUGGUUUCCUUUCACAACCAAUCCCCUAUUCAUAGCUGUAGGAAACGGGGAGAGGCUGCUGUUGUAUGUGCAAAAAGGGUCAAGGCGGAUUUGACGAUGUCGCCAGAGGUGAAGCUGCUGGCCCCUGCCGCCUCACAUACCUGUCCCGAUGUACAAUCGUGCCAGCAUGCCGGCGAUGGUGGACCAAAAUCAUUGUAUGUGUAUGACAGUGAAGUUCCUGUUAUGUGAUUUUAUUUUAACUGCGACACAUAUUCCCGAAGAAACUGAGAGCAAGUAUAGGAAAGUCAGAAACACGUUCCCGAAGAAAGUGAGACCAAGUAUAAGAAAGUCAGAAACACGUCAGUGUUUCUGAGUUUCUUCUUGUUCUCACUUUCUGAGGGCUACGGGCAGAACAGGGAGGACCACGUGUGUUCGUGUGUUGAUUCGUGCGCGAGCACCUUUGCAAUUUCUGGCCAAGCGUGGUUUUGAAGGUUAGGACACAGACAAGAUGUUCAGAGAAGUCGCCUGUUCAAAAUCCAGGCAAACUCGGUAGCGCAAACGGAAGGUGCCGGCCUCAUGAAUGCCCUAUGGUUGGUUUUUGGGAUUUGGGACGGCUUCUUCGUUGCAGCUUACAUCUGCUGUCUGUCUGUCGCGACCUUCAAGUGCCAUAUGGCACUGCCAUACUUCAGCCGCAAUGUCCAGCACCUUCUUAGCAUAGCCGAUUUGACAGCUUUUCCAUGGCAGGCAGGCGAGGCCCAGCGCUGGCCCAGCGCCCGACAGAUGUGUGCACUGUGUGGGGGCCCUCCGUGGUGUGACCGGAGGCUCUUCCACUACUAAUGCACACGCAGUGGCUGGUUGCAAGGACUCGGGCGGUUCGCUGCUUUUAUCACCUAGCAGCCGUCAGAAGCUCAGGACGAGGCGGCAUUGAAAGAGGCAACUCGGCAGCGCAUGUAGGCCUUGUGCGUGGCGAGCAGACACCCGUGCAUCAGCAUCAGCAGCAGCAGCAGCAGCAGCAGGUGAGGAAGGCCACUCAGCAGCGCAUGGAGGCCUUGCAUGGUGAGCUUGGAGAGGCGCGCGUGCGGGCCACUUUUGGCCAGCUUUUGUCUCUUUUUGUUGUCCGCGCUGUGUCCCUCUCGCGCAGCAUCUGUCGCAGUCCGAGUCACUGCAGACAUUCCGGACGUUGACCGUCACACGUCGGUCAGUAGCCCUUCGGGGACCGCAGAGGAGAUUUCGUACGUGAUGGCAGGAUGGCGGAUGGUCCUAUAUCCCUGCAAAAGCAGGUCGGCUUAGGAAACUCUAUGUUUCUGUUUUCGGCGGGAGUUUCGGUAGUUACGAUCCGAAGCGCCCGGAGCGUUUGCCCUGGGACCGAUUCAGGUCCAAGAGCGAUUUCGCGACCUCGCAAACUCGUUUUUUGCAGUACCGGUUCGCCAUCCCACAAUUCCUGCCACGUAGAGGUGAUGUGCUUCACAGAGGACGUGUGACAUACAAAUUCGCUUGUGGGAAAGCUUUUACACUCUGGUUGCAGAGCGACGUUUCCCCCUUUUAAUUAUAAGAACGCAAAAAAAUCGCGGUGAGCCCAUAGCCUGAACACUUCGCAUCUCAUCACAUGGGAACCGUGGUGACUUCAGCACCGCCGCUGCAUCGUAUAUGCGUUCGUACUCUGCAUUCGAUUUUUCGCUGCCGUACAUGUAAAAUAUUCUUUCUUUCAUAGCCGGAACUCUUCAGCACCAGGCGUUGCACGUACCGCCAUAAAAUAGGUCGACUGCUCAAGCACGCAACGAACCAGAUAUCACAACGAACUAAAUUUUUUUCAACGAACCAACGCUUAAAGUUAACAAAGAAGUCGGGAACAGGGAAGGUUCCACACAUCCAACAAACUUGUGAAAUGGGCCCUCGUGGCGUAACCGUCACCAUCUCGGCUUCGGCCUCAGCACCGACCCAUGGGACCGUAAUCAAACGUCCUACGAGCCGCGGCUCCCGUCAGACCCCCAACUACGGCCGCUUUGGUGCGGUUGGCAGCAAAACCGUUUUUCCUUCGAGUUGCAGCUACUGCCGCUGUCGCCGCACCGCGGCGGCUGCAGCUAGGCCGCUUGCGUUCCGGGAGAAGGAGGAGAAACCGGAGUUACAAGCGGGAAUGCUGAAGCAAGGGGAGGCGUUUCGGAUGGGGCAGGCGCAGCGACUCAGCCGCCGCGGCUGGGCUGUGCUUGACAAGAAGGUGCACAGGGGCUUCGGAGCUGAGACUUUGAGAUGCAAGUCUCAAAUAUGCACUACAUUCCGGAAAUGCAUUUUUGAACGUGGCCAUCUUAUUAUUAUCAUUGUUAUUAUUAUUAUUAUUAUUAUUAUUAUUAUUAUUAUUAUUAUUAUUAUAUUUUUAUUAUUUUAUUUUUAUUAUAUUAUCAUUUUUUAUAUUAUUAGUAUAAUAAUAAUAAUUAUUAUUGUAUGUUAUAUUAUUAUAUGUUAUUUGUGGCUUUUGUGAUAACUUUUUUGAGUAGUUGCCGUACCGCUUAGGGGUCGUCCAGACGGAGGGCUACCUGUAGACAGGAAAGUUGUGCUUGUUUCCGUGGGAGGUGGAGGGUGAGCCUGGCUACCGAACCGACCCUGGUGCUGUACGCUGUAGUAUAGAGUAGGGCAGAAGCCGCAGCGGAAACUUGUCAGUACUCUCUGACACUAUGAACUCGUAAAGUUAUAUUCGCACUACUCCUGCGACUUAUUCCAGCCCUGUACGGCCCAGCCGUACGCACCAACGACAUUCAACCGAGUACGCUCUCGGCAAAUACUCAGAAUACUUGCCGAGAAAGUCUUUUUAUUGCAAAUACGCCUUGGUUAAACCUUGGUUUUCUUUUCUCUCGAUUUUCACUCAGAAAACCUACCGCGACAAGGUCCUAAGCAAAACAGGAAUACGAAGUUCAUGGCGCGCAGCUUUGUGUGUAAAUUUCUCCCGUCUCCCUUGUUCGUCUGGCAUGUUGUGAAACUGGCUCGUACGGUGUCGUUCGUGUCCGUACACAGUCCGAGCUGUCUCCCUGGAGCCAUUCCGUUGGCGAGCUGGGCCCUCGAGAGGUGGACGUCCGGGUGACACACAACGGCCUUUGUCAUACCGACUUGAGCAUGCGAGUAAGUGCGCGCGCGUGUGUGUGUGUGUGCAUGUUUGUGUAUGUGUGUGUGUGCAUGUUUGUGUAUGUGUAUGUGUGCGUGUGUGUGUGCAUGUGUGUGUAUGUGUGCGUGUGUAUGUGUGUGUCGUCCCACGUGGGCACGAAGCACUCCGUUCCUGAGUCGUGCUAACCCCCCCCUGCCCCCCCUGCCCCCCUACCCCCCUGCCCCACUCCGCAGCACUCUUUCCUUGGCAGCAGCUUCACUCGCUCAUGAUUCGUCUUUCCCCCCUUCCUCCCCUUUGGCCCCCCCCCCUCCUCCUCCUCCUUCCCCUGGCCCCCCUCCUCCUCCUCCUCCUCCUUCCCCUGCCCCUCCUCCCUCGCUGAAACACCCACCCGCCCGCCCGGCCCAUUCACAGGACAACGACUGGGGUGUCUCCAAGUUCCCCUUCAUACCGGGCCAUGAGGUAGGCGGGUGUGCGUACGUGUGUGUAUGGGGCUGUACGGCAAGGCAUGACAUGCAUGCCGCGGAAAAAAGGCCGGUACGGCACGGUUGUCAACUCACGACCGAUGGGACAUUGGGUUCAUUUAAGUGUUAUCAGCGAAAGUUCUUUUUCGUGUGGGACAAGGGAGUGGGGUUGUGUUUGGGAGGGAAAAAGGCAGGAAAGGGAAGGCAGCUUUAGGGGGGAUAGAAGGGGGAUGAAGACCUGACUGGAUGCGGUCCGACGCAGGAAAAGGAACGCAAAAAUCCAAGGUAUGUGGGAAGGAGGCCAACUGGGCAGCUUGGGGCACUUAGCAGCUGGGGGAGAGGGAGGACGGGGGGGGGGGAUGGAGGCAGAGAGGAAGGGGGGGGCGCAGGUAAUGGUGAGGAUGACGGGGGUGCGGAAGGGGGGAAAGGGAGGGCGAACAGAGGGGGGGACGGGGAGAGACUCUCCCCCAGGAGACAGCUCCUAAACCAAGUCCAGCUUGCCGUACACUAGCGACCUGGAGGCGCUCCCAUUAGUAAUGUCGAACACCCGGGCUGUUCAUCUACUUUGGACUGUCAAGCUGCUGUUGUACAUCUCUUUCACUCUUCCACUCAUGAUUUAUUAUUGAUUUGACCUUCUCUUCAUUUUUUUUCCUAAUUUCUUAAUAUUUUUCCCUUUUUGUGUACUCGUCCAACCACCAACUGUCGAUCGGAGGUGGUUGGGGAGGUUGUGGCGGUUGGCGAAUCGGUUGACUCCCUGCGGCCCGGUGAUCGUGUGGGUCUUGGAUGGAUUGCCAACUCAUGCCGCCGCUGCCUGGCCUGUUUGCGGGGCGAGGAGAAUGUGUGUGUGAAAGGCUACAAGGGGCUCAUUGUGGCUGGUAGGUAGGGUGGGGGGGAACGAGGGUGUGUGGGUUGUGCUGGGGGGGUUUAGGUGUUUUAUGUUUUCUUCACUUGUCAAUAAAAAAUUCAUGAGAACAAUUUUGUUCAAUUCAUAAGAAACAUAAUGUAGUUACUCAUGAUUAAUAAUUAAGGGAUAGCUAAUAUUAGAGAUAAUGUUUAAGGAAAUAUUAUUAAUCGACAUGUUUUAGAAAGCCGUUGUGAAGCUUUUUGGUCCAGCAGGUUUUAGCUCCUCCUCUGCUACAGAUGUGAUGUUGAGGCGGACCCGAUCCUCCAAUCAGCUGGCUGAAAUCCGCAGGUUCUGGAUUUAAGGAACGGCACGACAAUUAAAUUAUUAUUACUAGUAGUAUUAUCACCUCCUGGCCUCGAAACGCUUCCUUUACGCGGGAAAAUUCCCGCCGCACUACCACACCACCCAAAAAAAAA
rnacentral:lncRNA from 1 species